rnacentral:lncRNA from 1 species
AGAAGAAUCAGACCAUUAAUUUUCGUUUGAGCCAAUCAACAGAAUGUACAUUUCUUCUAUGAACUUGUAACCGAAACCGCAGUUUUUCAGGUUUGAUGCAUCUGGGAAAAUUUUCAGAUGGAAUAAAACCACCAUGCGCCAAGGUACCAAUGAUGUUUCUUCCAGCUUACGAGCACUUCAAAUAAACUUAGGUCAUAUUUACACAAGGGCGCACAUGAUAUCAAUCUAAUGGCAAUUAUAUCAUCUAAAAUCCAAGACCAAGAGUCUCCCAUUUUCCCGUUCCCUACUCUGUUCAUAUUAUCAUAACUUGAAGUUGCAAGGCAGCCGCAAUCUCCCAGAUCUUUGCUCCUUCCUCAUAGCAGUUAAUCAAACGAUAAACAGAGAUAUCCCAUGUCAACAAGGAGGUAAUCAUAAAAGAACAACAGAAUUGUUGCAAUAUAUUCAUAUGAAAUGUAAAACAAUUUUGAGAAAAAAUAUUGGGAAGAUAUUUUUUUUUUCAUAGAAGUUGCAAUCUUUACGUUAUAUACUAGUUUGACUAGACUAUACAAGGAAGCUAUAUGAAAUUAGAAAAAUAAGCUAUACUAGGAAAGAAUAAAUAUAUGUACAGAAAAUUAGGCUAUAAUCUCUGACUUUCAACAAAUUUAAUAUCAAUUUUCUUCAGGAAGUUGUCUCGCAAGGGGCGCAUCAGUAUUGCAACGUCUGCUGGGUCUUACAUUAUCCACAAAAAUAACUCGUCCAUCUAGUAACUGCAAGUACAUACUGUGAGAUGCUUAAACUCAACAAUAUAAGCAUGGUAAAUUAGAGAAAAAUGAUGCAAUUUUACCUUCCCAUUCAUGUCUGCCAAGGCUUUUUGGGCUUCCUCUUAUGUACUGAAAGUCACAUAUCCGUAACCUUUUGAUCUAUUCUUACCUUAUCCAUUAUUAUUGUAGCUGCAAAAAGAAAAGAAUCGGAUAUUACAAAAUAGUGAAGAGGGAAGAGGGGUUGAGACUUAAAACAGAAAUAGACCAAACCCUCAGUGACGUGGCCAAAUUGUGAAAAAGCAUCAGCUAACAUGCCUUUAGUGGUUGAGAAAGAUGCGCCUGCAAAGGAUGCCAGUUAAUUUUAUCAUAAUUAGAUGGUAAGAUUGCAAAUUCUGCAGCCAAAGGUAGUACGGAACUGAAUGAAGGAAAUCAAAUAUGAAUAUGUUGUCAAUCUCAAAAUAUUAAGAGUAGCAUAAGUAACUUGUGAAACAGUUAUAAGUUCAAGGGAAUUAGAUGAUGGUAUGGUUGAAUUUAUAAAUAUUUGAUAUUUAACAAGUUAGUGUGUACUAUGCAAUUGCAAAAUUUAAGUUCCACAGAAUCGGUUCCUUUAACAUGAUGCAUCACAUAAUAUUUUGUUUGCAAAAUAAAGAAGAAAGAUGACAUAAUAGAAACACUCACAGAGAGAGAAUACCUUUGACGAAAAGCUUAGAAGUGAAUCCUCUGUAAAAUACGAGUUGAGCUGCUGAAUUUUCGAGUUUGAAUGAGAGACUGCGGCAAUUCUGAAAAUGUUUUUUUCUCAUUAGCGCCGCCAUUUUUGUAAUAGAGGGUAAAGAAAUAAGUAACAGAGUAAGAGGUGAGCAGAAACGGCCCAAUUUAGUUAUAUGCCAUGCAUGCGAUCAAAAUUGAAUGGUUAAAUGGCAGCCACUAUGUUACAUCUUGUGUAAGUAACAAACCGCCUACAUGGAUCGUUGGAUUUGGGAAUAUGAAAUCCAAUGGAUAAUAUUGAAUUUAACGAAAAAUAGAUUACAGGUUGCAUUAGUCCAAGAUUAUUUCAAACAAACCAGCUGAUGAAAUAGCCGCUAAUCAAAUUUAAAAGGGAAAAAAAAUCAUAGGUUAUAGAUCUUAUUUCCAUCUUAAAUCUAUGUCUUUCAUGGUAACUCAAUGUGUAUUCUAAUUUAUAAUUUGGAUCUAUAUUAGAGCUAAUGCUUCCCUAAAUAACUAAGAAAAUUUUCUUUUCAUUGAUUAAAUAUCUAUUUCCAAGAUCUUGUAUAUGUAGGAUUUGAAAAGAGGGAGAAUAGUAGGGUUGAUAAUGAGAGAAGAUAGAGAUGUCCAUUCUCAAAUCUAAUAUUAAUGCUAUACUUAUGUUCCUAUACUAAAUAAAUUAUCCAAGGUUCGUGGUUAAUGAUAAGUUGCGAAAUUUUAAUUUCUAUUUAAAGUUUUGUCUAAUAUGGCUUUUCAUAAAGCUUAGAGAAAAGUAGAGCUUUUACAAAAAAACAUUUAAUUAGAAUUGUGAAUGAUAAAUUUUAUUAAAAUUUUUUAAAAAGUACUUUAAUAAAUAAGCUUUUAAAGUUAUAUAUAUUAUGAAAGAAAUGAAAUAAGAUUAUAUAAUAAAUUAAGAGUAUCUUAGAUAAUUGAACUUAAAAAAAAAACUCGCUAAGAGGAUUAAAAUUUGAGUUUUAAUAGUGGAUACAAAAUAGUUUAUUUAAUUCUCAAAAGCUCUACUCAAAAUAGUUUAUUUAAUUCUCAAAAAAUAUUUUUUUCAAUGAGUAAAUAAUACUAAACAUGCACUAAAGUGUUAGGACCAGAAGUUGUCCAAAUAAAAUCAUGAAAUUAUAUGCUGUUGGAUGGAUAUUUUUCAAAUUUGCUGUAGUUUUUUUUUCUUUUCUGCUGGGAAAUUGAAAUGAUGGCUACAACUUAAAUUAUGAAUGGAGUAAUCGGAGAAUAUUGAAACCCAUUUAAUUUGGAUCGUGCAUUGAGGGACGAAAGGAUAAAAAAUUUAAUUUUGAAAUUGCUGUUGGGUACGGUACAAUGACUUACCGUUGACAGCUUGUGCAACCGGAUUACAAUCGGUUAGUUCAAUAAUUUUAUAUCCCUAUUCAACCGCCACGUGCUGCUGUUACAUGGGUCAAUUACUCAUGUCAUUACUGUUACUUACAGCUGCUGUAACAUAACCGGACCCAAAUGGUUAAAUUCUGUUGUUUCCAAUAAUUUUAUGCUGUAUCUUCUUUAAUAAUAAAGAAAACUUGCAUUAAAAUUAAAAUUAGGGUAAUGCCUGAUUUUAUAAAUAGAUUGCAAUGUAAUUUUGAAAAAUAAAUUAAUAAUUUACGAAAUGUUUAUAACAUAAUUUAAUUUUUUUCAAAAAGGAAAAACAACAAAAGUAAAAAAUAGAGAAUGAGGGCUACAAACUUUGCAUCUUAAACGGCCGUUAGAUUAUUUGUAAAUGAAAGCAACGGUCAGAUAUUGGUGGAUUAUGGAAACAUGUAAUCAUAAGGACUACGAGUUUUUUUUUGUUACAUUAAUAUAUUACAAUCAAAAUUCUGUUGGUAUUUAGAACCAGAAUUUCAUUUGACUAUCUUUGAUAAUUCUAAGCUGGUACAGCCUAAAUUCUUAUUCUCAUAUAAUAUCAAAGAGAGAUAUAUAUUCUUCUCCUCUAUUAAUAAAGAGACAUUUUUACUUCUAUCCAAUUUAAAUAGAACAAGAAUUAAGUCAUUUUAAUAGUUAGGACUCAAAACUCAUACACGUUAGUUUGAGAGUGUGGGGUGUGACAAUGGGCCAAGAGACCAUUGACAAAUACAAAAGAGUGGCAGAAAUUAAUUCAAACCGCUACACACGCUAUUGCAACCAAAUUGAGGGCACAUUUUUGUUUAUUUUGUUGAAAAGUAGUCUGUAAAAUUAACUCAAACCGCUACAUACGCUAAUGCAACCCAAUUGAGGGCCCAUUUUUGUUUAUUUCGUUGAAAAGUAGUUUGCGCAAUUAAUUCAAACCGCUACACACACUAUUGCAUCUUUUGAAAAAGAAAAAUGGAAUAAUUUUUCAAAAUUAAUUUAGAGAAUAAGAUUUACUAAUAAUGAUGUUAGAAAUCUUAAUAUUUGAAUCUUAAUAUUAUCUAUAGAAAUCUUAAUAUUUGAAUCUUAAUAUUAUCUAUCACUCAUUUAUUAAAUAAUAAAUUUCAUAGUUUGUAAAAUUACUUAACCACUUGAUAAAUGUUAUAUUUGUUGGGACUAGAUUGGGACUUAAAUAUUAGAAUAUCUAGUAUUACAUAAAAAAAAUUAACAAUUUAUCUUCACACGACUAAUUGUUUUUACAUCACAACUAACCUUAAUUAUUUUAAAAGUUAUAGUAUUAUUAAAUUGCCCUAACUAGUUAUCAAAAGGUGAAAGCAUGUUUUAAAAAGAAAUUACUAAGAAACAUUUGUUUAAACGAAGGUUAAGGUUAUGAUCAAUUAAUUAAGAAGAAACUUACUAUCAAAGGUUAAGAUUAUGAACAAUUUAAGGAAGUUAUUGAGCAGAGAAAGGGACAGAAUGGAUGUUUGAAUUGCCGGUGACAAGAAUGCUUGUGUUGUGAAAAGAAAUCCGAUGGUUUGUAAAUGGGUUGAAUUUUUCGCUCGCUUCAAUGACUUGCUUAUGCCCAAUAUAUUACUUUGCACAGUAGUAUUUGGGAUCCUAACAAUCAACUCUUAAUUUGGUCCCAAUAUAUUACUUUAUGAAUGAUUAGUUAAUAACUAUCAUGUUAAAGCUUCUGUCAAGCAAACACCCAUUGAAUUUUUCGCUCGCUUCAAUGACUUACUUAUGCCCAAUAUAUUACUUUGCACAGUAGUAUUUGGGAUCCUAACAAUCAACUCUUAAUUUGGUCCCAAUUAGUAUAGUAAUCAUCUAUUGAGCGGUAAAAUUUUCUUGCUUUCAAUUUCCACUGUUAUUUUUUUUAAAUAAAAUAAUUUAUUUAAACUAGUCAUAGAAAUAAGAGAGAAAAGGGGUCAUUUCUUGACUCAAAGUCAAUUGUAAUUAUCAAAACUUGAGGGGACAUCGCAUGCCUAAAUUCCACACACCCUAAAACGGUUUGAUUUGCUUUCAGGCGUUCAUGAAUUUCCAUGAAAGAGCCUGCCUUUCGUCUCUUUCGGGACAGUGACUACAAUAAUGGAAAAAAUUAUAAUUCUCGUUAGAUUGUAACCAAAUUAUUAUCCCUAAUUUUUUUAAGUUAAAUAUAAUUAAAUUCAUGCUUAAGUAUUUAGUAAUUAGAGAGAGAUAGAGAGGAUUGAGGGCCAAUGUUUCGCGAUUUGGGGUCAAUUUAAAGUCAACUAACGUGUAAAACACGUGUAUGCAUAGAAAACGCUUAGAUUAUUUGUGUUCCCAAGUGCAAGAAAUUAAGAAAAGAAAAUUUGAUUUCCUUUCAUGAACUUCCAAGAAAGAAAGAAGACCCUUCACCUUGUUCGUGACAACAAAUGAAUGAAUGAUGUUGAUAUGACAAAUACAAGCGCUAUUACAGGGAACAGCAUAAGAUCGAGACUUGAUAAAGGGUUUGUUAAAUUACAUGUUAUUUUCUUUUGACUUGAAUGAUGUUGAAGAAAAAAAUAAAAUAACAUUGUAAUCAGGGUGAUGUGUGGAAUAUAGUGAAAUAAAUAAAUAGAGAAGAGAAAUUCGUUGAUCAAUAUUCAAGAACUCAUCCAAAGUGAUCGUCAAAGUCUAGAGGUUCGGUAUGAUUAGCAUUUAUUUUUAUUUUUUUUUGGCUUAGCAUCAUAUAUAGUCACCUGUCGUGUGAUCUAGGACAUGUUUAGAAAUCCUUUUAUUUUAACUUCCGUAUUCUUAUUAUUUAAUUAGUUAUUGGGUUUUUAAGUAUUUGAGUAUUGAUCACAUGUCUCCUAAUCUAAAAAUAUGUUUUUAAGAGUACAAAUAACAAACUAGGAUUUUAACAGCCUUUUAUACUAAACCCUAAAAAUACAUGAAUUUAUCAAAAUAAGUAAAUUAAUUUAAAUUGGUAUGGCAUAUUAGAAGUUUUACCAGCCGAAACAAAUUAAAAAAAUAUUACACUUAAAUCAAAUAUUGACAAAAAUAGAUAACAAUCUAAUGAGAAUCUUAACUAGACAUUUUUACUUCUAUCCAAUUUAACUGGAUAAAUUGACAAAUAUUGACAAAAAUAGAUAACUCAUACACGCUAGUUUGAGAGUGUGGGGUGUGACAAUGGGUCAAAAGACCAUUGACAGGUAUAAAAGAGUGGUCGCAAUUAAUUCAAACCGCUACACACGCUAUUGCGUCUUUUAAAAAAGAAAAAUGGAAUAGUUUUCCAAAAUUAAUUCAGAGAAGAAGAUUUACUAAUAAUGAUGUUAGAAAUCUUAAUAUUUGAAUCUUAAUAUUAUGUAUCACUCAUUUAUUAAAUAAUAGAUUUCAUAGUUUGUAAAUUUACUUAACCACUUGAUAAAUGUUAUAUUUGUUGGGACUAAAUUGGGACUUAGAUGUUGGAAUAUCAAGUAUUGCAUAAAAAUAAAAAAUAAAAACUUAACAAUUUAUCUUCACAUGACUAAUUGUUUUUACAUCACAACUAACCUUAGUUAUUUUUUAAAGUUAUAGUAUUAUUAAAUUGCCCUAACUGGUUAUCAAAAGAUGAAAGCAUGUUAAAAUAAGAAAUUACUAAGAAACAUGUGCUUAAACAGAGGUUAAGGCUACGAACAAUUAAGAAGAAACAACUUACAAUCAAAGGUUAAGAUUAUGAACAAAUUAAGGAAGGUAUUGAGCAGAUAAAGGGACGAAAUCAUUGUCUGAAUUGCCGGUGACAAGAAUGCUUGUGUUGUGAAAAGAAACCUGAUGGUUUGUAAAUGGGUUGAAUUUUUUAUUCGGUCGCUCCAACUGACUUACUAAUGCCAAAUUUAUUACUUUGCACAGUAGUGUUUAGGAUCCUCAAGAUCAACUCUUAAUUUGGUCCCAAUUAGUGUAGAAAUCAUCUAUUGAGCAAUAGAAUAAGAAUUUUUCUAGUCAUGAAAUUCAAUAUAUAAUAUAUCCUUGACACACAUCGAUUAUAACUUAACUGUUAGAAUUCAUAACAUUACUCUACUCUCAAGGGGAGUUCUCUUAACAUAUUAUGUUAGGUUGCCUACAUUCAAAAUAUGUUAGGCUGCUCUUUGAAAACAAUAUUCCUUUUUCCGUAACUUUGAAUUGAUCCAAUAGCUCUUGAAAAGCACAUAAUAAUCAUUAUAAAUUUAAUCAAAGACUAAGCAAGUCUUCUUUGCAUUUGAUCACUGGCAUUUCAGUUAAGUUUGUCAUUUACUUAAAUUUUUCUUGCUUUCAAUUUCCACUGUUGUUUUUUUUAAUAAAAUAAUUUAUUUAAACUAGUAAUAGAAAUAAGAGAGAAAGGGGUUUUCUUGACUCAAAGUCAAUUAUAAUCAUCAAAACUUGAGCGGACAUUGCAUGCCUAAAUUCCACGCACCCUAAAACGGUUUGAUUUGCUUUCACGCGUUCAUGAUUUUCCAUGAAAGAUAGUGCCUGUCGUCUCUUUCCGGACAGUGACUACAGUCAUGGAAAAAUUAUGUUAAAGUGACGAAUACAAAACGUUAUUACAUGCAAGAAUAAGUUUUUGGAGCCGAGACUUGAGGGAGGUUCUAUCUAAUUCUAAAGAUUGUAACCAAAUCAUUAUCCCCAAUUUUUUUCAGUUAAAUAAAAUAAAAUUUAUGCUUAAGUAUAAAUAAUUUUUUUAAGUUAAAUAUAAAAUAAAAUUCAUGAACUUCCUAGAAAGAAAGAAGACCCUUCACCUUCUUCACGACAACAAAUGAUGUUGAUAUGACAAAUACAAGCGCUAUUACAGGGAACAGCAUGAGACCGAGACUUGAUAAAUAUUAAAUAUAUAAAAUAAGUGGAGCAAACAAACAGAAUAAUAGAUUUUUAUAAUAUUCUUCAUAAAAAUCCAAGUUUUGAGCUGGCCCAUAAGCUUAUCUAGUGAAGUCUGGGUAUCCGCAUUGCCCAAGGUUCCGCUUGAAUCCAGGCUGUGCUGAUAUUUAUGACAUCCCAUAUGGACGGAGAGGAAAUAUAUUCAGUUGACUGAAUUAAAUAAAAAUAUAUUACAAUCAUAUUAUAUAUUAGCAGCAAAAAUAAAAAGAAAUGAAGAAAAACGCUGUGUGGUUCAAAAAGAGUGUGGGUGAGUGAGUUAAUUUUCAUAUUAUUAGUAGUAAAAGGGUGGUGGAGUGAGGGAUGUUUGGAGCAAGAGAGGUCUGCUCUCCUCCAACUCAAACAUUUCUUCGAUGAUGAUCACCGUCUUCAAAACUGGGUAGACGAUGAGAAUUAUUCAGAUUGUUGUCAGUGGGAAGGGGUUGAGUGCAAUAACACCACUGGCAGAGUGAUUGAAUUAUAUCUAGGAGCCACUAGGAAUCGGGAAUCAGCAGAGUGGCAUAUGAAUGCUUCUCUGUUUACUCCCUUUCAACAAUUAGAGUCUCUUGAUUUAAGUUUGAACAAUAUAGCCGGUUGUGUUGAAAAUGAAGGUCCUUAAUUUACUUUAUUUUAAUUCUUCCUAUAAAUUUCUUACAUUUAUCUGAUCCCUUUUGGCUUUUGUUUAAUUUGUACGUGAUACAAUAAAAUUAUUUUUUAUUUUUUGGCAGGUCUAGAUAGGUUAUCAAGGUUGAACAACUUGAAGUUUCUUUUUUUAGACUUUAACUGCUUCAACAACAACAUCUUUUCAUCUCUAGGUGGUCUUUCAUCACUCAGGAUCUUAUCAUUGUUUCUUAAUAGAUUGAAUGGAAGUGUUGACAUUAAAGGUAAAGUAAGCUUCAUCCCUUCUCCCGUGUCCCAUCUUUUGUGGAUCUUAUUUCAUCGACCAGCUGGAAGUAUUGAUACGAGAUCUUGCUAGUGCAAGCUUCAAGGCUUUGAGUGCUACAAAAAUAGGUCUAAGAAAUUAUCAAUACAUAACGUUAUUACAUACAAUAAUAGUUCUAAAGAUUGUAACAAAAUCAUUAUCCCCAAUUUUUUUAAGUUAAAUAAAAUAAAAUUCAUGCUUAAGUAUAAAUAAUACUUUGGACAUUCUUGAUAUUUGUCCUUUUAAGAUAAACAGCAACCCAAUUAUCUAUUUGUUUGUCUGUUUUUUUUUUUUCAAUAACAGUUUGUUAGCAUAAAUAUUUACCUGUGAAGUCGAGGAGGAGAAAAUGUUAGAAAAAAUAAAAAGAAAAAAAAUUAAGGGGGAUAGAAUUAGAUUUUCUUUUUUGAGCAAAGAACAUACGUAAAAAGAUAUUAAAUCUAUUAAGUCUAAUUGUCUAUAACGGUAAAUUGCAUAACGAAUAAUUUAUUAGCGUAAAAUAAAUUUUAUUAGAUUCUGAUUAUUUGUUUGAUUUCUUUUCUCUCUGGACUCAACUUAUUUUGUUUAUUUGAUUUGAUUUUAUUUUUUUUUUAAAGAAACUUAUUGUUUAUCAAUACUGAAUGGCUUAAGAUUGAUGUCUUGAUAAUAGAUGGGGCAAUAUUGCAUUUUUAAUGCAGUAGACUUUGAAGUUAUCAUUGACAAGCUUAGAUGAAUUACUAGGACCAUAAUACAAAUGUCACAGGCAUCGAAGGCACUUACCAAGUUUUGAGUACAUUCCUGUUCCUAUCUAAUAGUUUUUAAUUUCUUUAAUUUAAGACCCCAUUCAUUAAUAUUUUCUUUAUUGUGAAGUUAAUUUUUUUAUCUGAAAUUAAAUUUUUUUUUUAAAUUGUUGACUUAUAGUUUACCUUUGUGUUAAAUGUUGGCAAAAUUAUUUUGUCCAAACCAUUUUUUUUGUCCUGAACGUCCAACUAAAAACUGAAUCAAGGGUUAAGUUGUAAGGUUUCAGUUCGUCCGUUAUAUUAAUUUAUUGUUUUAAUAUUAUGCAGUACAAAUAGGUGUAUAAGUCCAGAGGCGGAUGCAGCACAUGACCAGUGGGGGCUUGAGCCCCCACUGGCCAAAAAAAAAAAUUAAAAAUAAAAGAAUUUUUAAAAUUUUUUAAUUAGCCUCAUUAAAUUUAUUAAAAUAGUCACUAUAAAAUAUAAAUCCCAUAAAAUUUAAACUUUGAUUUUUAAAAAAUAUAAAAAUAUAUAUUUUAAUUAAAAAUAAUGAUAGCCCACUACUCAAAAAUUUUCUAUUCUAAAAAAUAUGGUUAAUUCUUCCAGUUUAUAUAAUAAUAGUAGAACGAACAGUUUCAGUAAUAAAACUCAUGAAGAAUCAUCUUUGGAAUCGGAUGGGAUACGUGAUAGUUUGAUUGUUUAUAUAGGAAAUAAUAAAUUUAAUAAUAUUGAUAAUGAGCCUAUUGCAUAACAUUUUAAAAAUAUAAAAAUGCGUAGAGACUAAUUAUAAAUAUUUUAUAUAUUCAAAAUUUUAAUUUUUUAUAUUUUACUAUUAUCUAAUUUAGCCCCCGGUAAAUUAUUUUUUUAGAUCCGCCACUGUAUAAGUCCAUCAUUUAAAUGCAAAAUGAAACCACAUCAAUAUAGAAAUUAAAAGAAAAUGAAUUCUCACAACCAUACGGUGAGAUUCAAACUCUCUAUCUCCGAGGAUUUCUUAAAGUUAUUCUUAAAUUACACUUAAAUGGUUAAAUUUAAUAAAUAAAGGUUUAAUUCUUUUCUCGCACAUUGUAGAAGCAAAUUUUCUCCUCUGUUGAAAAUUCUAAAUAUUUUUUUAAAUUAGGUUUCAACUAUGACAUGUCAGGACAGAUUUGAUACAUUUCUAAUGCAACCGAUAUAACAACACAACUUUGUGAUUUUUACUAUUCAGGAGAAGAAGAACACAACCUGUAUAACCCAACCGUUUAUAUACAAACAUCGAAUCGCUUUUUAAAAUUAAAUUGGGAAAAUUGGGGAUAUAAUCGUUUUUCAUAUAUAUACAUUUUUUCCUUACAAAUUAAAUUCAUGGUUGUUAGCUAAAUAUACCCGCUUAAAGCCACUCAGUCGAACCCUUUGAGAGCUGCUUUAAAUUUUUCGGAUUAGCCAUAUUCUUUUCACUGAGAUUUAACAUAAAAAAAAGGAGAAAAUAAGUUAUUUAAUUAACUCUAUUUUUAAGUGUUGGCAUAAAUACAGGACUCGAUUCCUUGAGUAACUUGGAGAUGCUGGACAUGAGCGACAAUGCAAUCGACAAUCUAGUGGUUCCUAAAGGUAUACAAAAUGUUCAAAUAUUUAUAAUUUGGAGGACAAUUUAAUUGAUUUGAUAAGGGAAUGCCCAAUGACACUUAUCCAAAAUAAUUUAAUCCGAAAUUGUAUCCCAAAUAGAUUACAGAGGCUUGAGGAAGUUGAAUACCCUUGGCUUAGGGGGAACGGAAACUGCAAUUAUAGAUGGAAGUAAGGUGUUGCAAUCAAUAGGAUCACUACCGUCCCUCAAAACACUUUACCUUUCGUGUACUAAUUUUACGGGAACAGUAGUUAAUCAAGGUAAGUAAAUCUUUUAUGUCGAAAAUAAUUGAAUUAAUAUAUAUAGCUAAAAUUUAUUGUUUUUACUUCUUUCUAAAUAGAAUUGCACAAUUUCACCAACUUGGAAGAAUUGAUAUUGUACAAGUCUGAUCUCCAUGUAAGCCAACUUCUGCAAGCAUCAUUCACUUCGUUAAAGAAUCUGUCAAUGCAUUAUUGUGUACUCAAGGGUGCCCUACAUGGUCAAGGUAAAUUACGGGUAUCCGAAGCUUUUAUGAUAUUAAUUUGAUAAUAAUUCUUUCUUUUCAAGUUAAUUUUUUCCCCUAAAAUAAGAUUUUUUUUCUUUUAAAUUUUAUAUAUUUUCAUUGUCCAAUAGUUCUAGCUUCUCUUAAUUGCAGGAUUCUUGAUUAAGGUUAAUGAAAUUUUAGUUCUAUUAUGUUAAGAAUAUUUCGAUCGCUUAGAAGAGUAAAGAAAAAUUAGUAAAUUAACCAAAACAAAAGGAUCAGAUUAUCCUUAUUCCCUUGCAUUAUGUGAUCAAUAUCAAAAUUAUAACCAUUUCUUGUUUAUUGCUUGUAGAUUUUCGUAAAUUCAAGAAUUUGGAACAUCUGCACAUGGGUGGGGCGCAGGUUGACGUCAACACCAGUUUUCUUCAAAUUGUCGGUGAAUCGAUGCCUUCACUUAAGUUUUUAUCACUGAUAAACUCUAGUAAAAAUAUUUGAACUAAUAAUAUCAGACAGCUGGCCUUUCUUUUCCUUGAGAUACUGAUUCGGAGUACUAAUAAUUUUUUACAAGUAAAGUUCCAUUAAAAUAGCAUAAGCCAUGACAAACACGUAUUGUUUAAUGGGCAUCCGUGAGACAAAGGAAUUGAUUAACCCAAAAGAUCAUAUGUACGGACACAACGUUUUAAUUAUUAACUUGUUUAAGUUUCUAAUCAACCUCUCUAAUCAAUCACAGCAAUUUUUCUUUUCCUCUAUCUCAAUCACUAAUUUCUUAAAGUGUAUACAAUUUUAGGAUGUUUGUAUUCUGAGAAGUUACACCAGCAGCAACCAAUUAUUUCGAAUGGAUCAGACUCAUCACGUAGAAAUAUUUAUUGUGGAUAUGAGGGAUAUUUUAAUAUAAUCUUAUUCCCACUCUCAUAUGACCGUGUAUAUUUAUAUGAAGAUUUAUUUCUUUGUUUUUUCAAUAAUAACGUGUAACAAUUGGAGUUUAAUUGAGUGGUUUUCAACUAAAUUUUAUUUAAUUGGCCACUCAAUUUUAAAUUUCAGGAGAGUUGAAAAUUUAAAAAUUAGAUUAAACUUUACUCAUUCUUUACCUUUCUAAAAGAAGAAAAAAGUACUGAUUUUUAAACAAUUGGCCGUUACAGUCUAUAAAGUUUUGAUUUGCUUUUUUAUAUAAUCGCUUUUAUUAAAAGAAGAAAAAAAUAUCGAUUUUUAAACAAUUGGCCAUUAUGAUAUAUAAACUUUUGAUUGCUUAUAUAUAAUCUCUUUUAUUAUUCCCCUAAAAUAUUGUCGAUAAUAAAAAAAAAAAAAAAAGCAGUCGGCCUAUGUAGCAAUGCAUAUGUGGUAGUAUAUGCAAAAUAAUAAUUUAUAUAAAAUUAACCCACAAAAAAAAUGAUUGAUGUGAAUAUAGAGUAUAAUUUCAUAUUCAUACACUUUUGAUUUUGUUAGGGCAUAUACUAUAUUGAUAUGAGCAUAGGACAUUGUUUACUAAAUAAAAUUAUUAAUAGUUUUAGUCUUCUAGAAUCCCCUGAUAGUGCUCUUAAUCAAAUUAUAAUAUAAGUCAUUGCUUUUUCUUUUUUAUUUUACCAUUUUAUUCUAUUCACCAGAUGCAUUUUUAGUAAUUAUUUUCUAUGUACAUGGUAGUGUUUGAUUUAUUAAUAUUAAAGAAGUUAUCAAUCACUUUUAAGUUUUUAAGUGUUUUUAUUAGGUGUCAAUUUGUAUUGGCAUGUCAAGUAGAUUUUUUAUUUAUGUUUUGUUAAAUUUAUAUAGACAAGAAUCUGGAUUGUUUUGACACUUUUUAAUUGCUUUUUUUUAAAUCACUUGUUAACAUAUUUUAAAAAUAUUUGUACUAUUAGUUACUCAAAUUCUAAUCGAUUUCGGUCUAAAUUAGGAAAUAAUUUUAAAAUAUAUAAAACAUAAUAUAGAUUUAUAGAAUAAUCUGAGAAUAAAGAAGUCGAAAAUUGUCAUUUAUACAAUUAAACUACUCUUUUAUUAUUCACCAUUUUUAUAAAUAUUAUCAAACUAAAAGAUCUCAUUUAAUAGUCAUAUGGUCUUGUCUGAGCGAGAUUCGAUUCCUAAAUAAUAAUAAUAAUAAUAACAAUAUUUUAAGCAAUGUCUUUUUAACAGCAGUUCAAUCAUCUAAAUACAUCACUAACGAAGAAUAUAAUACAUAUUAUAUACAUAUUUAGAUCACACAAAACACGUUAUCAUCUAAAUCUCACUUUUUCUCCAAUAUGUAAUAAAUUCAUGGAAAAUUUUUGAGUGUUCAUAGUGUAUGCUCCCACUCUAACGCAACUCUCUCUCUCUCUCUCUCUUCUUUUUCACCUGAAAGCUUGUCUAAUUUGGUUACAUUCAUGCAUGCUUACAUAAUUAGGCUCUAAUGGAUCAUAGUGUUGCAAAUUAUUAUUUUAAUGAUACGAUCGAUAUAAGCCGUGACUUUAUUUAAGAAAAAUGCUUGUUUGAGUGCUAAGGAAAGAUAGCAGUUAAUGGUGGGCUGAGAAUAUUAAUAAACAGAAAUCAGCAACAAGAAAAGAGAAAAGAAUCACGUCUGCUGACCCAAAAAAGGGAAAUAAAAUGAUAAAAUCACUGUGCGCAACAAUGAUUGACACAAGAACUUUACUCUUCCAAGCAUUGGUCCUUUUCAUGUCUUUGCCUGCCAAUUUUAGCAAAAUGUUUAAAAGGAAAGAAGUGUUUGUGAAGAGAUUCUCUCUUUAUUAUUCUCCUCUGUGACACUGACACACAACACAAGUGAGCAAAUUAAAACCGAGAAUGUUUCUUUUCGCAGUGCUUAAAGCAAAUUAAAAGCGUGGUGACAUCUGCUCCUCAGCCUCUGUGCUGAAAGAGUUUAAAAAAUAAAGCUGAUCAAAGUGUGUAUGUGUGAGUGUAGGUGGAGUGCAUGGGAUCAGCAUAUAUGUGAUUUUGUGUUCAUCUGCAGUAUAGAAUGUGAUUCUUUUUUCCUAUCACUUUCUUCUAUGCAAGGAUCGUAAAAUGCUGUUCGGUAUGAUCAGCUGCUGGUACUUUUGAGCUUGCAGCAGCUUCCAAUGAUUUUAUUUCCAUCAAAUGACAGCAUAAUUUGCAUCAGCAAAUCCGAGAUGACAUGCCAGUUUUUGGGCUGUUCCAUUUCUAGAUAUAACAUCCAAACUUGAAUAUGUAUCUCAUUUGAACAUGUGUGAUACUGGAAUGGACACACGAGGAGUUGGAAUUUAAAUGAGGUAUCAUAUGCUUUUCUUGAAAGAAAUAACCAAUUCAGUAACGGCCUAGACAACUCUAGCCACUUCAAAUUGUCGGUUAAUUAAUGAUUCUCUUUCUCCCUCUCUCUCGCAUCUUAACUAAAUUUAAUUGAGAAUAUCUACAAUGCUAGCUAUUUAUAAACUUAAUGAAAGAUGAUAAGGAGCCAUUAUAAUGACAAACACAACUGUAAAAUAGUGCGUUGUUGUAGUGUUGAUUGAAAAAUAAUGCUAAUGUUUUACCUAACAACACUAUAACGCCGUAUAAUUUUUAAUAUGUACUUUAAACUAUCAGUACUCAAACUUAAUUUUUAAUAUGUACUUUAAAGAUUUUAUGCAAUUAUUUAAGUUUUAUGCAAUUAUAUUUUUCAGGACUUUGUCGGUUAGUGCAUCUGCAAGAGUUAUACAUCAGCAGUAAUGAUUUGAGAGGUAGCUUGCCAUGGUGCUUGGUAAACAUGACAUCCCUCCAAGUGUUAGAUGCCUCUUCCAAUCAACUUAUUGGAAACAUCUCCCCAGGCCUUUGUGAGUUGGUGCUUCUGAGAGAGUUAUACAUUCAUAACAAUGAUUUAAGAGGUAGCUUGCCUUUGUGCUUGGCAAAUUUGACUUCCCUUCGAGUAUUAGAUGUCUCUUACAAUCAACUUACUGAAAACAUCUCCUCAUCUCCCAUCAUGCAUCUAAUAUCUAUUGAAAAGCUCAUACUUUCAAAUAAUCACUUCUUCCAAAUCCCUAUUUCACUUGAACCACUUUUCAAUCUCUCAAAACUCAAGACUUUCGAUGGUGAAAUAUGCGCAGAAACUGAGUCACAUUAUAAUUCUUUGACCCCAAAAUUCCAACUGACUUCUAUCUCACUGUCUGGUUACAUAGAUGGUGGCACAUUUCCCAAAUUCUUGUUCCAUCAACAUGACUUGAAGAAUGCUGAUCUCUCACACCUUAACUUGAGUGGACAAUUUCCAAAUUGGUUGCUAGAAAACAAUACAAACUUGGAGACGCUUCUUCUUGCCAAUAACUCUCUUUUUGGAUCAUUUCGAAUGCCAAUUCAUUCCCACCAGAAUUUAGCAAUAUUGGAUGUCUCCAACAAUUUCUUUCAAGGCCAUAUCCCGGUAGAAAUCGGAACAUAUCUGCCAGUCUUAAUGGGUUUAAACUUAUCUAGAAAUGCUUUCAACGGUAGCAUUCCCUCUUCAUUUGCUGAUAUGAAAAUGUUGGGAAGGUUGGACAUAUCGCACAAUCAGUUGACUGGUGAAAUCCCAGAGCGCAUGGCCACGGGUUGCUUCUCAUUAGAAAUUCUUGCAUUGUCAAACAACAGUUUGCAAGGUCAUAUAUUCUCUAAAAAAUUUAGCUUGACAAAUUUGAUGACGUUGCAGUUGGAUGGUAAUAAAUUCGCUGGAGAGAUCCCAGAAAGCUUAUCUAAGUGCUAUUUGUUAGAAGGAUUAUAUCUGAGUGAUAAUCAUCUCACUGGUGAGAUUCCAAGAUGGUUGGGUAAUUUGUCAGCUUUGGAAGAUAUUAUAAUGCCCAAUAACAAUCUUGGAGGGCCAAUUCCAAUCGAGUUUUGUCAGCUUGAUUCUCUGAAGAUUUUAGACCUUUCAAACAAUAGUAUUUUCGGAACCUUACCAUCUUGUCUUAGUCCAGGAUCUAUUGAACAACUUCAUUUGUCAAAAAACAAGAUAGAAGGACGAUUGGAAAGUAUAAUCCAUGACAGCCCUUAUUUGGUGACAUUAGAUCUUAGUUAUAACAGCUUACACGGAAGUAUUCCAAAUCGGAUUGACAGACUACCUAAGUUAAACUACCUUCUUUUGGCUAAUAAUUAUAUUGAAGGCGAAAUACCAGUUCAAUUAUGCCAUUUGAAGGAAGUGCGGUUGAUUGAUCUUUCUCAUAAUAAUCUAUCUGGUCAUAUUCCUCCUUGCUUGGUUAACACUUCACUCAGUGAAGGUCAUCAUGAGGCAGUAGCUCCAACUCCAAGUGGAUCUCCGAUGGGAAAGGAAGAAACUGUUCAGUUCACAACAAAGAAUAUGUCCUACUAUUAUCAAGGAAGAAUUUUGACGAGUAUGUCUGGGAUUGAUCUUUCUUGUAACAAACUGACAGGUGAGAUUCCUACUCAAAUUGGAUAUCUUACUAGGAUUCAUGCACUAAAUCUAUCUCAUAACAAUUUGACGGGCACAAUCCCGACAACAUUUUCAAACCUGAAGCAAAUCGAAAGCUUGGACCUCUCCUACAACCUACUGCAUGGGAAAAUCCCUUCUCAGCUCACUGUGCUAAAUACAUUGGCGGUCUUCACGGUAGCAUACAAUAACUUAUCAGGAAAAAUUCCAGAUAGAGUUGCACAAUUUUCAACUUUUGAGGAAGAUAGCUAUGCGGGGAAUCCUUUUCUUUGUGGAUGGCCACUGUCUAAAAGUUGCAAUGAUAGUGGAUUAUCAGCAGUGACACGAGAAGCUUACACUGAUAAUGAAGAAGGUGAUAGUUUAAUUGACAUGGACAGUUUCCUAAUCACUUUUACAGUAUCUUAUGGAAUUGUGAUAUUAGGAAUUAUUGGAGUUUUAUACAUAAACCCCUAUUGGCGACGAAGAUGGUUUUACCUUGUUGAAGUAUGUAUGAUCUCUUGCUACUAUUUUGUAGUAGAUAAUCUUAUUCCUAGAAGAUUCUAUGGUGGAUGGAUGUAAUUUCAUUUACUUUACAACUUAUAUGUAAUUUUUAAAGAAUUUUCUUUUGCAUGCAUGGAAUAGCAACUCAAUAAAAGUAUUUGAUGCAAAUUGUCCAAGAACAACUUAGUAAUUUCAUUGCUACUAUUCGGUUGUAUAUAUACAGUUAAUGAAAUUUUUAAUCAUUCGCAGUAGGAAUUUCUUUAAAUGGCGGCCAAAACUAACAGAUUUGGGGCUCUACCUCUACACAUCAUAACAGGCAAAAGGUCUCUCUUUUACACUAUCUGAAUGAAGAUUAGCUUACGCCCCCUGGAGUUCUCUAUUAAACUUGACGGUUGAGAUUUCAGGUCCAGAUGAAAGUGAAAUGCAGGCGACGAGACUACACUUUAAGUAAACUGGGACAAACUUAAAAUAAAAAAAAUUGUAGUCCAGGGUGAGAGUGAUGGGUAGCUCAACUUAUGGAGGAUAAUUAGGACUUGGAAUAACUAUCAGAUUUGCAACUCUUGUUAUAUGCUAGUGGGGAUUUAGGUAGCAAUUUUUUUUUUUUUCCUUUUUGCCCUCUUCCUCACAAUAAACACACCUAACACACCAAGCCGUGCCCAAAAUAAUCCUAUUUUAUUCAUGUCAUGAAUCCAAAAACUAUCCCAGCUCACUUUGUUUAACCAGCAUAACUAAAUUGUGGGUAUAAAUGAACACACUUUCGAAGCCUGUAACUUAUAAUAAGCUCAAACCCAAAAAUGACAUUUAAAUCCUGCAAGUGUUUUUCAUCAUCCCUAACAAAAAGAAACAAGAAUAAUUAUAUACCAAUAGUUUUUCCAUAAAAAAUACUGAUACCAAUAGUUUUUCCAUAAAAAAUACUGAUUUGAGUUGAAACACUCUACAAACUGGAUUUUAUACACUUGCAGAAAGCUACGCGAUAGACAAAAUCUAGCAGCUACAUAAUGGUAUCACUUUCAGCUGGUCAUGAAUGGUGUGCAUUCAGCAGUGCUCGAUAGACCAUGUCUAUGAAUUGAUUGUCCUAUUACAUAUAAAAGCUGGUCAGAUAUACAAGGAAAAAAAUAAUAAUUGAAAAUGCAUCACAAAAAAUAAGUGUCUCGCAUUAGUGUUUGCACUCUAAGCAUGGCAAAGUGGUGCGGGUUCAUGAUUUUGAAGACUGGGAUAAGUGAAAAAUAGUUCAAUCCACUGAUGAACAUAAAUUUAUUUACAUGUCAAUUUAGAUAUCAUAAAAAAGUAAACUGUAAUUCACAGUCACUUAAAAGAGUUGAUAAAAUGCAUGCCAUGAAUGCAUUUUUGUACAUAAGAAAUCCAAAGAGUAUUUCUGACAAUACAAAUAUGCUAGCUUUAAAUCUGCUGUCAAUAUGCAAUUAAGAAGAUUAUAUCAGCUGCAUGAUAAAGUUCCCCUAAUCUUAAUAACAGUAAACAUGAACAUGUCAGAUGCAAUUAUAGCUUCGAGCAUUUGCAUAACCAGAAAUCCUAACCUGAACAAGCACCAGAAGUGUCUCUCGGACUUUCUCCUUGUUGAUAAAUGGUCCGCUGUUUGAAGUAAGAGCAGGAGUAAGAGAUGGUGGAGGGGUUGGUAGUGGAAAAGGUUGAAGCAUUGGGGCACCAUAUGGGCGUUGCAGACUCAGGGGAGGAUUAAGUGGCGGAGCUGUUGGUGUAGAUGAAGAGACAAGCUGCAUCAUCUGUGCAUAGGAGGAUGGAGGAGGAACAAAGAAUAAGGAAGGCUUUACAAGAUUAGGGGUAGGUGCUGACAGAGGUGGAGAUGGUAUUUGCAAGGUUGGCACGAUAAGAGAAGCAACACUGGCGGGAUGAGAAGGUAAAGAAAUAGUUGUAUUGGACUGGUAAGGUUGUGCAGAGAUUGCUGCAUUAGAAGUAUUCCCCACAGUCAAAGCUGUCUGCAAUGAUAAGGACAGAUGUCAUAUACAAGGACAUGAUAGAAGAUGAACCUCACACAAAAAUGAAGUGAUAACAUAUGAAAAUAGUAUGACUUGCUGCAGUUUUGUGGUAAUGUUGCAUACUUAUGCAGAAACAUAUUAUUUCAAAGAAAACAUACACUGAAGUAGUUCACAAAAGCAGGAUCUUCAGGAACAUCAGCAGCAUUUGAGGGAGUUGACUCUAGAGGGACCAUCCAUAACUGCCAUAGUUGGAACAGCUUCCAGUUCCUCAAACUCACUGCAGUUUAACAUAAAAGGAACUUGAUGACCAAUUUAAGUAAUAAUUAGAUGAUAUAAGAGGUUAGGGAAAAUGAUGAGUGGACCCUUAUGGAAGGUGAUUUCACCUUAACUAAACACGAAAAUAAAAAGAAAUCAAAGCUGAAUCCUCGAGUGCAAUGCAAAGAAUUUUUUCUCGCUCUUCUCUAACUCCUCUUAUUCGAAAUUGCUCAUCAUUGUGCUGUUCUUAGAGUUUUCACUAGAGUAGAGAAAGCUAUUCUCCCGUUAAGUACAGAGGAAAGAGAAGGGCAAGGGCCUGGUAUGAUGCUAUUCUAUAGGAAGUGAGAAGGUGAAGGGUUAAAAUAUUUUGUAAUUUGGAGGUGGUGUUUGUUAGUGUGUGUGUACUUCUGAAUUUAUUACCUCUUUAGGAUCCAUAGAAAUUGCCUCUUGUUCAGCAUACACUGUGCCUACGAGUAAGACGAGCUUGCAUGGUAUCUAUUGUCUAUUUACUUGGAUAUUCAAACAUGACUACCAGCAACCAAACACAAAUCCCCAAACAAAACACUCUUUCAAGUGCAAGGAAAGAGUAACUUGGGCAUAUUUAUAGUUCAAGCACUACAAUAACUAAGAAUGUGAUGACUGUCCACAAACACUAUAUUAGUGCCUUUUGAACUACAUUACAUGCUCGAAGACUUUUUUUUUAGUCAUACAUAAAUUAGCUAUAAAAUUAAGACCGUUAUACAACUAAAAAGAAAGAAAAAUUGUUUGCUACUACAUAUCAAAACUGGUAAUAGCAAUGUAAGAUGGCAGACUUCUUACUUAAACAGAUGAGAGGCUACAAAUAAAAAAUUUGUGCAAAUAAAAUAUAUGAUAAAGAGCAUAAUACUUUCUUGGGGGCUAAAAAUAAUAUACAACUUGUGAAAUAUAAAUUGAGCUACCAUUACCUUUUAGAUGUGGCAACUUUCGACUUUUGAGGCACCUUGGAAUAUGCAUUCAGAAUCCUGCAUUUGGAAGCCAAAUAAAUAAUGUUAAUAACAAUUUUACAAUAGAAAAAUUAAAAAUUGAUAAAUGGCAGUUGUAAUUUAUGUAUGCGUAAAGAUAGCUUCACAUCCAGGGUCCUCCCAUAAACAUGCUUGUAACAAGAAUUAGUUUGUCCAACUGUUAGCAACUGCUAACAAUGUACAAUAGUAAAAAUCACUCUCAUGAACUCAACAAUACUAGGCACCAAUAAGAGUAUGAUACAGCCAUUCUAAAAUGGAAGAGAAUACAACUGUUUUACAACUAUGUUGCAUCAGGAAUUAUGUUAGGAGGAUUAAUCCAGAUACCUUCCAACCCAAUUAGGAAAACUCGAGUCAGAAACCAGGAGCCACAACCGAACCUUACAAUCUUGAAGGAAGAAGGAGACUUGGGGCAUUUUUCCAGAUAGGUGACUUACUAGAUCUCCUGCCAAGAGAAUAUCUAUUGCUUUGAACCUCCAUUGAAAUUUCUUUUCCCUUUUUCUUGUUUUGGCUUGGAACUUUCCAGCAUCAUCUAUUUGAUCUUUUUUAAAGCUAAAAAAGCAAUCUAUGGGUUGUGAACAUCUUAUCACCACCCCCCCCCCCCGGGCCCCCCAAAAAAAAAUCAAUGAGUUGUCAAUAAAUAGCGCCUACUCAAAUGUUUUCCAAUGGAUGACAAUGUGCAAAUCGACCUAGCAGCCACAUUUUUCCCCCCUUUCAACCACCAUUAGGCAACUUUUUUAACCUUUCUUCAUUGCCCACGUCUACAGAACUAUCAUAUAAAGACUACAUUAUUAUUGGGAUAGAGAAAAAUAUACAGACUGUAUUAUUAUAUCUCAUUUUAUUAAUUAACUAGUGCAAGACUUAUUUAGUGUCAAAUCAAGAACUAAUUGGAAAAGACAACUCAUGAUAAUACAGACCUUAAAAAGCAAUAGCUAGCAACACCCCAUAUACUCCUAUUUUAGCCUUUAAUAUCCUGGUAAAAACACAAUUAAGUCUUGCAAAAGAACAUUCACAAGUAAAUUCAACAUUAAUUAAGAUUAAGUAUCUACUGCACCUUCAAUCAAUGACUGGGUGAAUAGCAUGGUCAACCAUCUAGUUCCUGUAGCCCUCCUUGUACCUAUGUUGGUUACAUUUUACAUAUUAAGCCACGAAAAUGAAGGAUCACAGCCUGGUAAAGAAAGCCAUUAAUUAAUAGUGUUUGUUUAAAAAGUUCUCGUUUAGAUCUUUCCUAUUCAAUGAAUCAAUGUCAUCCAUGGAGAACUCUUCCAUUUCAAGCAGUGUUAGAAGAUAAUUGGAAAGCCUAAAGAUAGUAUACAAGGACCAAGAUAUCGAUUAGGUCAAAUAGUGAAUGUCAAAUAUAAAAAAUAAAUAAAAGAAGUUGUACAUGAUCAUUUACUAUCAAGUUCUGUAAAAUUGAAAAUACCAUUAUCUCUGUAGAGAUUCUCAAACAACUCUUUAGCAAAUUAUAAAAUAGUUAAAAAAAGAACAAAAGUUUUUUUUUAAAAAAAGAACAUCCAUAUCAGGAGAUGUUUUUCUUCUCAAUCUCAAUAUUUUCUAGCCGUGAAGCAAUUGAAAAGCUUAACACCAAGUGAAUUAUUAAGAAUUCAUCAUUUAAAUUCCCAAAUCGCAAAAUGUUGGUGCAACUAGGAAAGUGCAAAUGCAAUCACUUAACUAACACAAGAAACACCAAUAGUGAGAGCCCACUUUGUAUCAAAUUUGAAACAGAUAGAGGUCAAAAAAAUUAUACACUCAAUUAAAAGCCUUUCAAACAGCUUUUGCAUGGAACAAGAACAAAUCAAAGGCGAUGUGAAUGUAUUCAAAGACUAAUUUACAAUGAUCUACAGGACAUAAAUAUCUUGGAUACCUACUCUCUAUACCUUACUGUCCCACUAGAAAUCAUCAAAUCCCUCCAAACAAAAAUGACAAAAUGGAUAAGAAUUGUGUCGUUAAACUUCAAUAACUUAGCAGCCACAGCAAAAACUUAUGUAGGCACGCAAGCCAUUCAAAAUAGUCAUAUUGUUUGCUUUCCAAACAAAAGCCACUUUGUAAUGAAUAUUCAUAAAUUGCUACUAUCAUGUUUGUUAAAACACGUGAAAACCACCAUAACUAACUAAAUGUAACUGAUGAUCAUCAUCAAGUUCAUGGAAUCACAUAUCUGACAGUAUUAAUUAGUGCAAAUGGCAUGCUUCUUAAAACUCCGUAUUUAUCACAUGGGCGCCAUUCCAAUCAACCAAUGAUUCUGAUCUAGUCGGCAUAUUCAACCCACGAGCGAGUAAUACCUCCUAUUGCUUCUUUACAUUUCUCAACGAAAUUCCACAUUCUAACCAUACUUCUGAACUUGUUGCUCCCAUAGACUAAUACAAUAUAAAGAUUUCUUCCCACACCACCUCAGCCCACACUCCUGAAAAACCAAUUUAAAUUCUCAUUGGCUGUACAACCUAUAGUCCAUACCAAAUUGAAAAAUUUACAAAUAUAGAACCUCAAAGAAUCUUCUUGCAUUCCAUUUUUUACGGCAAGAAAUUUGACUUUUACCACAUGCAAGUCAACAAAUAAAAAAAUCAUGUCUUUGUGAGAUGCACAUUUUCAGACGAAUCUAAAGAGCAAUGAAACCGUAAAAACCGAAUAUGAGAACACCGAGGACUCCAGAUAUCACCUAUAGAAUCUUUGGUCCACACUUGCACGAUGAAAAUGAUGAAAAACAAUUGAAGGCUUCAUCACCAGCUCCCCAGGUUGUUUUGUUCUCCUAUCUCCUAAAUAUAAAGGAAACGCAACCCGUUCUUUUUUCCAAUCUUAAGGGGCACAAAACGACUCUGGUAUAAAAUAGUCAGUUUCUAUACAAAAAUAACUCCUUUGCACUUGGCAUUGCACAUCUCGAAAUAAAAAGCAUGCUAGAAAGAGAAUAUAAUAGCAUUAAACAAGUUUUAUUAACCAAACUUCAAAGAUGCCACACAAGGCAAAAAUGGAAUCUGUACAAGCCAGAUUCCAAGAAUAAUAAUUCCAAUAUACAAUUCAGGAAAACAAUAACUAAAACUAGGUUCACGAGGCCUCGGCAGAAGCAACAUGUAAUAACCAUACUCUAUUAUUUGAAACACAUUUCUAAGUUUGGUUAAGAUUCUAAACUAUUCUCUGUGUCAAUUAUUAACAUGUAAAACAUAAUAAUAUACACUUAAACUACUACACAAACUACUACACUAGUAAAACCAGUAAAACAACAAUACCUGCUGAAAAGAUUUGCUACCUCUUCACAUUCACGAGCAUUGUAGAACCAAAUCCCAUUUACUUCUUGGGAUGCAUUUCGAUAUAACAAAUACGGAACCUGAACUUCAAACUCAAAAUCUCCCAAAAGAUUUUCCACUAAAUUAUCUGCACAUAUACAAGAUAUUGAAGCUUAUGAGUGCAAAAACAUAUACAAAAAGACAUGAAGGUUAGAAGACAUAACUAAAACUUAGCAACAACUGAUAAGCACAACAAGACAUGAAAUAUAACACUAGUUGUAAACAAGAUAGACACAUGGUAUCUAAAAAAUUGUACCAACCCCCUCUCCUGAUUGUCAUAAAACGGCCAAUAUUUAACCCUAGACAACAAAAUUGCAAAUACUCUAGCCUCUAUAUUAUUGGCAUAUAAAUAUUUUAGGUUAGGUACGUUAUAUUCUUCGUUCUAAAACCUCAAUUAUUAGCUAGUACUGUGAUAAAAUGAUUCAUCACUGAAAUUAAAACUAGUUCACGUACAAAUAAUCAAAACUGAAAUAGAAACAACGACAAACCAACCUGUAUUACGUCGAUUCAUUACAACAAACUGAAAUCGAGGCUGUGUGUUCCUGAAAAUUGAAAAAAUAAUAAUUUCACCAACUUCAUAUGUGAUACAAUCUCCAAAACACCGAAUAUCAAAUGAAAAAAUGGAAAGCAUAAGAGAGAAAAGAAUCUAAUUUUAUUGACCUUUUGACGACGAAGAGAGAUCCUUCAACAUCCCUACGACUCCAUUGGCUGAGGUCGAUGUUGAACUCGUAGAAGGUGACAUGAGCGGCCGUGAUGAGGAUCUCCUCAAUGAAUGGAUCGAAUCGCUGAAGAACUGUCAGGUUUAGGAGUUUUGUGCUCUGCUGGUCCAGAUUAGGCAUCAAUUUUCCGUUCUGCGACAUUUUUUAUAGUCGUUUUGGGCUCUGCCCCGAUCACUAGCCCUCAUGUUUUUCUGUGAGCUCUCUCUCUUUUGUAAAUAAAGUGUUUGAUGAGAGCGCCGAGAGAGAGUGAAAGAGUUGAACAGCCAAACAAGGUGAGGUGAACAGUUUCGGACUGAGACUCGAGAUUGGUCAAGCUUUAACUUCUUUCAAACAUUUGGGAAAUAGCAUUUAUUUCUUUCAAUUUCUCUACUGUUUUUUUCCUUUAUGUCAUUUAGACCCCAAAAUUAGAUUUAUUAUAAUCAUAUUUUACCCAUUCACUAUUAACCCCUUUUAUUUUUUAAAUUGUCAAUAUAUAAUGUAUUAGAAUAAUGUUAGAAAUCCCAAUAAUUAUCUCAAUGUUUCAAUCAUAACUAAUGUGAUAACUCAUCGGUAAGUGCAACAUUAACUUAAUUAUUAAUGUUUAUCAUGAAAUGAUGAGAUUAUUAUUCAAGAAAAACUUAGUAAACAACAAUGACUAAUAUAAUGUGACAAUUACAGCUGAAUAUUAGUACAAUAAUUAGAAUCCCUAAAGUUAGUGAAUGUAUUAUAAUAUAUGUGUGUUACACCACUUUAUGUCUCUCAAAUUCAAUUAAGUACUUUUAAAAACCUGACCUUUUAUUACUUUAAUUAGGAAUGCAUACAUGAACGAAAGAUGUGCAAUUUUUGUUCUAUUUUUCACUAUUAUUUACCAUACAUCUACGUACGUCACUUGAUUUUUUGCGAUUAAUAUGCUUAAAUGGAGGUAUAAAUAAAAUAAACGAAAAGUCUAAGAGAAAAAAAAAUAUCUUGAUGUUAUUGUUUGCUAAAAGAUGUUAUGAACAACUAAAUAACCAACAACCCUGCUUCGGUGAGUGUGCAACAUGAGGUGCUUGACGGGAUAUUUACUUUCGAUGAUACAACUAAAGCUAGCCGCAACAUAUAUCAGGUGCCUGCUUGUUUUUACCUUCUAGAUACUAAUAUUGUUUUACAGGUUGCCAGUGUAACAUUCGACUUGCUGUUGCUUCUAGUGUUGGGAUCGUGUUUAAUUGUGCUUUUCAGCUUUCUUGUCAUAACAACUUGGGUAUUAAUCUUUCUCCAUAUCAAGCUUGAAGUUCUAAAUUUCAGUUUUAUCUUGUAUUUGAUGUUUUAUAAUUUCAUUGCAAACAGAUUAGAAUAGAAACUUCAAAAGUUCCAACUGACUAGUCCCGUGUAACUUUUUCAGGGAAUAUUUUUGAACGUGAAGAACUAGCUUAAUUUUUUUUAUGUUACUUUCUUACCCUAUCUUUGUAUAACUCCGAGCGAGAUUCACGAAGAUUGAAUCCUGCCUACGAUUACGGCGAGCAAUUUAGCAGUGAGGCAACCGAGGUCGUUUACAUAUUCAUUUUCAUCUAGGUUAACAUGAGCUCCAUUUGCGUUGAUUUAAUAUGUUAUUUGAUAAAAGAAAUUGAAUUCAUGACUUACUCUGAAUGUAACAUAAGCUCCAUUUGCGCUGAUUUAAUAUGUUAUUUGAUAAAAGAAAAUUGAAUUCAUGACUUACUCUGAAUGUGACCAUCAUUGGAGAUUAUAGAAUUCAAGUCACAGAAAUCUAUGCUUAUCAAAGUAAUUUGGAUAAUUAAGAAAACCACAAAGGUCCAGAAAACUUCUAGAGAGAUGAAGAAAAAUGUUUUCACGUGGUGAUUCAUUUUAACUAAUUAUAUACCCAAACGCGUAGCAGGAGGCUGACUGGCCAUUCCCCAGAUUCAUUUGACCAAACAGCGUAUCAUUCAUAUGUUUGCCACCGACCUACUUCGUGACACGCCAUCACCUCGCUUGUGGAUAAGCUCUAUCUUUUAAAAUAAUUUUAUUGUGAAUAAUUUUAAUUAUGAAAUUGUAAUUAAACAUAGUUAGUUACUCGAAGAUUGUGCAUGAAUUACGAUGUAUCAGAAAACAGGAACACAUAGUUUUCAACAAUUGAUCCUAGGAAGAUGCCCAUAGCUUGUUGUGCCAAAAAUAGAAAAUCUAAGAUGUGAAAAAAUUUUGUUGAGAUUCAUUUUUCAUCCUGAUGUUACAGCUGGCCUUUUUUUUUUUUUUUUUUUGGCAGAGAAUAAUGCUUAUGUGAUUUCUGAACUUGGUUACUGUUGAAAUGAGCUGAAAAUGAGCUGGAAAUGUGUUUGGUUAAUGAGAAAGAGAGCGAGAAAAUGAAAGAAAUCUAUUUCACUUUUUGUUUAUCAGAAUGAUUACAUUCACAAUGAAUCUAAGCUGAUAUUUAUACUUAAAUGAAUACACACGAGAUUCUUCUUGCUAGAUACUUCUAGAAACUCUACACGCACACUCACACUGAGCUAGUGGUUACUAAAACCGUUACAACAAUAUUGCCAGCUCAGCAUAACCAACUUAUAACUAACACACUCAGCUGCAGGGGAAACCAUCAAGCAUACGGUGCAUCCUCUGUAAUCAAGCUUCUUUAAGCAUGCUCUGCAGAUCAUACGUCUGAAUUAUCGAAACAAGAUGAAUUAUUUUUUGUUUAUUUUAGCAGGCGAUCUAUGAUCGGAAUUUCUUGCAACAAAAGAUGUGUGUCCACCAGCUUGUAUUCAAUUCGCGAACACAGUUUGAGAAGAAUCAGACCAUUAAUUUUCUUUUGAGCCAAUCAACAGAAUGUACAUUUCUUCUAAGAACCUGUAACCGAAACCGCAGUUUUUCAGGUUUGCUCCUUCCUCAUAGCAGUUAAUCAAACGAUAAACAGAGAUAUCCCAUGUCAACAAGAAGGUAAUCAUAAAAGAACAACAGAAUUGUUGCAACAUAUUCAUAUGAAAUGUAAAACAAUUUUGAGAAAAAAUAUUGGGAAGAUAUUUUUUUUUUCAUAGAAGUUGCAAUCUUUACGUUAUUUACUAGUUUGACUAGACUAUAUAAGGAAGCUAUAUGAAAUUAGAAAAAUAAGCUAUACUAGGAAAGAAUAAAUAUAUGUACAGAAAAUUAGGCUAUAAUCUCUGACUUUCAACAAAUUUAACAUCAAUUUUCUUCAGGAAGUUGUCUCGCAAGGGGCGCAUCAGUAUUGUAACAUCUGCUGGGUCUUACAUUAUCCACAAAAAUAACUCGUCCAUCUAGUACCUGCAAGUACAUACUCUGAGAUGCUUAAACUCAACAAUAUAAGCAUGGUAAAUUAGAGAAAAAUGAUGCAAUUUUACCUUCCCAUUCAUGUCUGCCGAGGCUUUUUGGGCUUCCUCUUCUGUACUGAAAGUCACAUAUCCGUAACCUUUUGAUCUAUUCUUACCUUUAUCCAUUAUUAUUGUAGCUGCAAAAAGAAAAGAAUCGGAUAUUACAAAAUAGUGAAGAGGGAAGAGGGGUUGAGACUUAAAACAGAAAUAGACCAAACCCUCAGUGACGUGGCCAAAUUGUGAAAAAGCAUCAGCUAACAUUCCUUUAGUGGUUGAGAAAGAUACGCCUGCAAAUGAUGCCAGUUAAUUUUAUCUUUUUUAGAUGGUAAGAUUGCAAAUUCUGCAGCCAAAGGUAGUACGGAGCUGAAUAAAGGAAAUCAAAUAUGAACACGUCUUCAAUCUCAAAAUAUUAAGAGUAGCCUAAGUAACUUGUGAAACAGUUAUAAGUUCAAGGGAAUUAGAUGAUGGCAUGGUUGAAUUUUAUAAAUAUUUGAUAUUUUGGACCGAACAGGGCAAACAGAUGGAUCCAGAUAAUCAAGAAAAACAUCAAUUCCAUGCAACCAAAUUAUUCGAUUGAUUAAUUGAGCAACACUAUAAAAUUAUUCAAAUAUGUGGCUCCGUCCGUUCCACCACCACAACCAAAAAAAUCAGAUCCCCCCAUUUGGAUUCGAUUGAUUAAUUUGAGCAUAUAAAAUCGGGUUUUAAACUUCCCUAAUCAAAAUUUAUAGUCCACAGAAUCAGUUCCUUUAACAUGAUGCAUUACAUAAUAUUUUGUUUGCAAAAUAAAGAAGAAAGAUGACAUAAUAGAAACACGCUAUUGCAUCUUUUGAAAAAGAAAAACGGAAUAGUUUUCCAAAAUUAAUUCCGAGAAGAAGAUUAACUAAUAAUGAUGUUAGAAAUUUUAAUAUUUGAGUCUUAAUAUUAUGUAUCACUCAUUUAUUAAAUAAUAGAUUUCAUAAUUUGUAAAAUUACUUAACCACUUGAUAAAUGUUAUAUUUGUUGGGACUUAAAUGUUGGAAUAUCUAGUAUUGCAUUAAAAAAUAAAUAAAAACUUAACAAUUUAUCUUCACUUGACUAAUUAUUUUUACAUUACAACUAACCUUAAUUAUUUUGAAAAUUACAGUAUUAUUAAAUUGCCCUAACUGGUUAUCAAAAGUUGAAAGCAUGUUAAAAUAAAAAAAAUUACUAAGAAACAUGUGCUUAAACAGAGGUUAAGGCUAUGAACAAUUAAGAAGAAAAUCAAUGUUGUUUUUUUUUUUCAAUUGAUUUCAAUUCCCACUGUUGUUUUUUUUAUAAAAUAAUUUAUUUAACUAGUCAUAGAAAUAAGAUAGAAAAGGGGGCAUUUGUUGACUCAAAGUCAAUUACAAAUAUUAAACUUGAGCGGACAUCGCAUGCCUAACUUCCACGCCCCCUAAAACGGUUUGAUUUGCUUUCACGCGAUCAUGAAUUUCCAUGAAAGAGCCUGCCUUUCGUCUCUUUCGGGACAGUGACUUCAAUUAUGGAAAAAUUUAUAAUUCUCGUUAGAUUGUAACUAAAUUAUUAUCCCUAAUUUUUUUAAGUUAAACAAAAUAAAAUUUAUGGUUAAGUAUAAAUAAUACUUUGGCCAUUCUUGUUAUUUGUCCUUCUAAGAUCGACAGCAACCUAAUUAUUUAUUUGUUUGCCUUUUUUUUUUAAAUAACAAUUUGUUAGCAUAAAUAUUUACCUGUGAAGUCGAGAAGGAGAAAAUGUUAGAAAAAUAAAAAGAAAAAAAAUUAAGGGAGAUAGAAUCAGAUUUUCUUUUUUAAGCAAAGAACAUACGCAAAAAGAUAUUAAGUCUAAUUGUCUAUAACGGUAAAUUGCAUAACGAAUAAUUUAUCAGCGUAAAAUAAAUUUUAUUAGAUUAUGAGUGUUCUGAUUAUUUUCUAGAGUACGAAUUGCCCCAUCGUAAAAAAAAGGCCGAGAAAUAUAGCCUUUGCGAUGGCCUUUUACCGUGUCGUUGUAAAAAGGUUAGUAGUUGAGUACUAUUAGUAAUUUAAUGCACCAAUAUUGUGUAUUCCAUCUUAUCAAUGCCUGAUUUUAUAAAUAGAUUGCAAUGUAAUUUUGAAAAAUAAAACAAUAAUUUACGAAAUGCUUAUAACAUAAUUUUAAUUUUUUUCAAAAAGGAAAAACAGCAAAAGUAAAAAAUAGAGAAUGAGGGCUACAAACUUUGCAUCUUAAGCGGCCGUUAGAUUAUUCGUAAAUGAAAGCAACGGUCAGAUAUUGGUGGAUUAUGGAAACAUGUAAUCAUAAGGAUUACCAGUUUUUUUUUAUUUUACAUUAAUAUAUUACAAUCAAAAUUCUAUUGGUAUUUACAACCAGAAUUUCAUUUGACUAUCUUUGAUAAUUCUAAACUAGUACAACCCAAAUUCUUAUUCUCAUAUAAUAUCAAAGAGAGAUAUAUAUUCUUCUCCUCUAUUAAUAAAGAGACAUUUUUACUUCUAUCCAAUUUAAAUAGAACAAGAAUUAAGUCAUUUUAAUAGUUAGGACUCAGAACUCAUACACGCUAGUUUGAGAGUGUGGAGUGUGACAAUGGGCCAAGAGACCAUUGACAAGUACAAAAAGUGAUAGAAAUUAAUUCAAACCGCUACACACGCUAUUGCAACCAAAUUGAGGGCACAUUUUUGUUUAUUUCGUUGAAAAGUAGUCUGUAAAAUUAACUCAAACCGCUACAUACGCUAUUGCAACCCAAUUGAGGGCCCAUUUUUGUUUAUUUUGUUGAAAAGUAGUUUGCGCAAUUAAUUCAAACCGCUACACACGCUAUUGCAUCUUUUGAAAAAGAAAAAUGGAAUAGUUUUUCAAAAUUAAUUUAUAAAAUAAGAUUUACUAAUAAUGAUGUUAGAAAUCUUAAUAUUUGAAUCUUAAUAUUAUUUAUCACUCAUUUAUUAAAUAAUAGAUUUCAUAGUUUGUAAAAUUACUUAACCACUUGAUAAAUGUUAUAUUUGUUGGGACUAGAUUGGGACUUAAAUAGUGGAAUAUCUAGUAUUGCAUAAAAAAAACUUAUUAAUUUAUCUUCACACGACUAAUUGUUUUUACAUCACAACUAACCUUAAUUAUUUUAAAAGUUAUAGUAUUAUUAAAUUGCCCUAACUAGUUAUCAAAAGGUGAAAGCAUGUUUAAAAAAGAAAUUACUAAGAAACAUUUGUUUAAACGAAGGUUAAGGUUAUGAUCAAUUAAUUAAGAAGAAACUUACUAUCAAAGGUUAAGAUUAUGAACAAUUUAAGGAAGUUAUUGAGUAGAGAAAGGGACAGAAUGGUUGUCUGAAUUGCCGGUGACAAGAAUGCUUGUGUUGUGAAAAGAAAUCCGAUGGUUUGUAUUUUUGUUGAAUUUUUCGCUCGCUUCAAUGACUUGCUUAUGCCCAAUAUAUUACUUUGCACAGUAGUAUUUGGGAUCCUAACAAUCAACUCUUAAUUUGGUCCCAAUUAGUAUAGUAAUCAUCUAUUGAGCGGUAAAAUAUUAAUUUAAAUAGUCAUAAAAUCUAAUAUAUAAUAGAUUACUAACACACAUAAAUUAAAACUUAAUUUUCUGAAAUCAUAACAUUACUCUACUCUUCAGUGGAGUUCUCUUAAACAGAUUAUGUGAGAUUGCCUAUAUUAAAAAUAUGUUAAGACCUCUUGUUGAAAGCAAUAUUCGCUUUUUGAUUAUAUCCAUAACUUUGAAUUGAUGAAGUUGUAUUCAACAGCUCUUGAAAAGACUAAGCAUGUCUUCUUUGCAUUUGAUCACUGGUAUUUCAGUUAAGUUUGUCGUUUACUUAAAUUUUUCUUGCUUUCAAUUUCCACUGUUAUUUUUUUUUAAUAAAAUAAUUUAUUUAAACUAGUCAUAGAAAUAAGAGAGAAAAUGGGCCAUUUCUUGACUCAAAGUCAAUUAUAAUUAUCAAAACCUGAGGGGACAUCGCAUGCCUAAAUUCCACGCACCCUAAAACGGUUUGAUUUGCUUUCACACGUUCAUGAUUUUCCAUGAAAGAGAGUGCCUCUCGUCUCUUUGCGGACAGUGACUACAAUUAUGUUAACGUAACAAAUACAUAACGUUAUUACAUACAAGAAUAAGUUUUUGGAGCCGAGACUUGAGGGAGGUUCUAUCUAAUUCUAAAGAUUGUAACCAAAACAUUAUCCCCAAUUUUUUUUAAGUUAAAUAAAAUAAAAUUUAUGCUUAAAUAUAAAUAAUUUUUUAAAGUUAAAUAUAAAAUAAAAAAAUUCAUGAACUUCCAAGAAAGAAAGAAGACCCUUCACCUUCUUCGUGACAACAAAUGAUGUUGAUAUGACAAAUACAAGCGCUAUUACAGGGAACAGCAUAAGACCGAGACUUGAUAAAUAUUAAAUAUAUAAAAUAAGUGGGGCAAACGAACAGAAUAAUAGAUAUUUUAUAAUAUUCUUCAUAAACGUCCAAGUUUUGAGCUGGCCAAUAAGCUUAUCUAGUGAAGUAUGGGUAUCCACGUUGCCCAAGGUUCCGUUUGAAUCCAGGCUGUGUAGAUGUUUAUGACAAUCCCACAUGGACGGAGUGGAAAUAUUUUCAGUUGACUGAAUUAAAUAAAAAUAUAGUACAAUCAUAUUAUAUAUUAGCAGAAAAAAUAAAAAGAAAUGAAGAAAAACGCAUGCAGACUUAGACAAGUCAAUUAAAAGCUGGGAGUAUCAUCAGUUCAAUUGGUUAUAAAUAGCGUAGAGCCAUCCUCUCGUUGUUGCAGAACUGAAGGAAAGAGAGACAGAAAGAGUGCGUCUAGGUGAUUAUAAUUAAGAAGAUAUAAUGUGUGGUUCAAAAAGAGUGUGGGUGAGUGAGUUAAUUUUCAUAUUAUUAUUAGUAAAAGGGUGGUGGAGUGAGGGAUGUUUGGAGCAAGAGAGGUCUGCUCUCCUCCAACUCAAACAUUUCUUCAAUGAUGACCAACUUCUUCAAAACUGGGUAGACGAUGAGAAUUAUUCAGAUUGUUGUCAGUGGGAAGGGGUUGAGUGCAACAACACCACUGGCAGAGUGAUUAAAUUAGAUCUAGCAGUAACUCGGAAUUGGGAAUCAGCAGAGUGGUAUAUGAAUGCCUCUCUGUUUACUCCUUUUGAACAAUUAGAGUCUCUUGAUCUAAUAGGGAACAAUAUAGCUGGUUGUGUUGAAAAUGAAGGUCCUUAAUUUACUCUAUUUUAAUUCUUCCUCCUCGUAAUUAAGAAAACUUUAAAGUUACCUAUCCUAUUGGCUAAGUCAUUGUAUGUUUCCACUAGGAAUUAAGAACACUUUAUAGUCAAUUAGUCCCUUUUGGCUUUUGUUUAAUUUGUACGUGAUAUAAUAAAAUUAUUUUUUAUUUUUUGUCAGGUCUGGAUAGGUUAUCAAGGUUGAACAACUUGAAGUUUCUUUAUUUAAGCUCUAACUACUUCAACAACAGCAUCUUUUCAUCUCUAGGUGGUCUUUCAUCACUCAGACAAUUAUCAUUGGCUGCUAAUCAAUUGAAUGGAAGUAUUGAUAUUAAAGGUAAGCAAGCUUCAUCCCUUCUCCCAUGUCCCAUCUUUGUGGAUCUUAUUUCAUCGACCAGCUGGAAGUAUUGAUACGAGAUCUAGCUAGACUCUUGCUAGUGUAAGCUUCAAGGCUUUGAGUGCUACAAAAAUAGGUCUAAGAAAUUAUCAAUACAUAACGUUAUUACAUACAAUAAUAGUUCUAAAGAUUGUAACAAAAUCAUUAUCCCCAAUUUUUUUAAGUUAAAUAAAAUAAAAUUCACGCUUAAGUAUAAAUAAUACUUUGGACAUUCUUGAUAUUUGUCCUUUUAAGAUAAACAGCAACCCAAUUAUCUAUUUGUUUGUCUUUUUUUUUUUUUAAAUAACAGUUUGUUAGCAUAAAUAUUUACCUGUUAAGUCGAGGAGGAGAAAAUGUUAGAAAAAAUAAAAAGAAAAAAUUAAGGGGGAUAGAAUCAGAUUUUCUUUUUUGAGCAAAGAACAUACGUAAAAAGAUAUUAAAUCUAUUAAGUCUAAUUGUCUAUAACGGUAAAUUGCAUAACGAAUAAUUUAUCAGCGUAAAAUAAAUUUUAUUAGAUUCUGAUUAUUUGUUUGAUUUCUUUUCUCUCUGGACUCAACUUAUAUUGUUUAUUUGAUUUGAUUUUAUUAUUUUUUAAAGAAACUUAUUGUUUAUCAAUACUGAAUGGCUUAAGAUUGAUGUCUUGAUAAUAGAUGGGGCAAUAUUGCCUUUUUAAUGCAGUAGACUUUGAAGUUAUCAUUGACAAGCUUAGAUGAAUUACUAGGACCAUAAUACAAAUGUCACAGGCAUCGAAGACACUUACCAAGUUUUUAGUACAUUCCUGUUCCUAUCUAAUAGUUUUUAAUUUCUUUAAUUUAAGACCCCAUUCAUUAAUAUUUUCUUUAUUGUGAAGUUAAUUUUUUUUAUGUGAAAUUAAUUUUUUUUUUAAACAUUUUGUUGACUUAUAGUUUACCUUUGUGUUAAAUGUUGGCAAAAUUAUUUUGUCCAAACCAUUUUUUUUGUCCUGAACGUCCAACUAAAAACUGAAUCAAGGGUUAAGUUGUAAGGUUUCAGUUCGUCCGUUAUAUUAAUUUAUUGUUUUAAUAUUAUGCAGUACAAAUAGGUGUAUAAGUCCAUCAUUUAAAUACAAAAUGAAACCACAUCAAUAGAGAAAUUAAAAGAAAAUGAAUUCUCACAACCAUACGGUGAGAUUCAAACUCUCUAUCUCCGAGGAUUUCUUAAAGUCAUUCUUAAAUUAUACUUAAAUGGUUAAAUUUAAUAAAUAAAGGUUUAAUUCUUUUCUCGUACAUUGUAGAAGCAAAUUUUCUCCUCUGUUGAAAAUUCUAAAUACUUUUUUAAAUUAGGUUUCAACUAUGACAUAUCAGGAGAGAUUUGAUACAUUUCUAAUGCAACCGAUAUAACAACACAACUUUGUGAUUUUUACUAUUCAGGAGAAGAAGAACACAACCUGUAUAACCCAACCGUUUAUAUACAAACAUCGAAUCGCUUUUUAAAAUUAAAUUGGGAAAAUUGGGGAUAUAAUCGUUUUUCAUAUAUAUACAUUUUUUCCUUACAAAUUUAAAUUCAUGGUUGGUAGCUAAAUAUACCUGCUUAAAGCCACUCAGUCGAACCCUUUGAGAGCUGCUUUAAAUUUUUCGGAUUAGCCAUAUUCUUUUCACUGAGAUUUAACAUAAAAAAAGGAGAAAAUAAGUUAUUUAAUUAACUCUAUUUUAAGUGUUGGCAUAAAUACAGGACUCGAUUCCUUGAGUAACUUGGAGAUGCUGGACAUGAGCGACAAUGCAAUCGACAAUCUAGUGGUUCCUAAAGGUAUACAAAAUGUUCAAAUAUUUAUAAUUUGGAGGACAAUUUAAUUGAUUUGAUAAGGGAAUGCCCAAUGACACUUGUCCAAAAUAAUUUAAUCCGAAAUUGUAUCCCAAAUAGAUUACAGAGGCUUGAGGAAGUUGAAUACCCUUGGCUUAGGGGGAACGGAAACUGCAAUUAUAGAUGGAAGUAAGGUGUUGCAAUCAAUAGGAUCACUACCGUCCCUCAAAACACUUUGCCUUUCAUAUACUAAUUUUACGGGAACAGUAGUUAAUCAAGGUAAGUAAAUCUUUUAUGUCGAAAAUAAUUGAAUUAAUAUAUAUAGCUAAAAUUUAUUGUUUCUACUUCUUUCUAAAUAGAAUUGCACAAUUUCACCAACUUGGAAGAAUUGAUAUUGCUCGAGUCUGAUCUCCAUGUAAGCCAGCUUCUACAAAGCAUCGCAUCAUUCACUUCGUUAAAGUAUUUGUCAAUGGGAGGUUGUAUACUCACAGGUGCCGUACAUGGUCAAGGUAAAUUAUGGGUAUCUGAAGCUUUUAAAUUUUUUCUUUUAAAUUUUUUAUAUUUUCACUGUCCAAUGGUUCUACCUUCUCUAAAUUGUAGGAUUCUUGAUUAAGGUUAAUGAAAUUUUUGUUCUGUUAUGUUAAGAAUAUUUCGAUCGCUUAGAAGAGUAAAGAAAAAUAAGUAAAUUAACCCAAAAAAAAAAGAAAAGAACAGGACCGGAUUAUCCUUAUUCCCUUGCAUUAUGUGAUCAAUAUCAAAAUUAUAACCAUUUCUUGUUUAUUGCUUGUAGAUUUUCGUAAAUUCAAGAAUUUGGAACAUCUGCACAUGGGUGGGGCGCAGGUUGACGUCAACACCAGUUUUCUUCAAAUUGUCGGUGAAUCGAUGCCUUCUCUCAAGUUUUUAUCACUGACAGAUUCAAUUCUUAAUAAAAACACCAUUCUUGAUCAAGGUUAAUUAAUGAUUCUCCUUCUCCCUCUCUCGCAUCAUAACUAAAUUUAAUUGAGAAUAUCUAUCAUGCGAGCUAUUUAUAAACUUAAUGAAAGAUGAUAAGGAGCCAUAAUAAUGACAAAAAUAACUGUAAAAUAGUGCACUGUUGUAGUGUUGAUUGAAAAAUAAUGAUAAUUUUUUACUUAACACUAUAACGCUGUAUAAUUUUACAGUUAUUUUGUUGCCAUUACGUCAGAUUAUACUGUUCAACUAUCAGUGAUCAAACUUAAUUUUUAAUGUGUACUUGAAAGAUAUGUAAUUAUUUAUCUAUGUGUACUGAAGGAUGAAUUAUAUAUUUUUCAGGACUUUGUCAGUUAGUGCAUCUGCAAGAGUUACACAUCGGCGGUAAUGAUUUGAGAGGUAGCUUGCCAUGGUGCUUGGCAAACAUGACAUCCCUUCAAGUGUUAGAUGCCUCUUCUAAUCAACUUACUGGAAACAUCUCCCCAGGCCUUUGUGAGUUGGUGUUUCUAAGAGAGUUAUCCAUUCAUAACAAUGAUUUAAGAGGUAGCUUGCCUUUGUGCAUGGCAAAUUUGACUUCCCUUCGAGUAUUAGAUGUCUCUUACAAUCAACUUACUGAAAACAUCUCAUCUUCCCUCAUGCACCUAAUAUCUAUGGAAGAGCUCAUAAUUUCAAAUAAUCACUUCUUCCAAAUCCCUAUUUCACUUGAACCACUUUUCAAUCUCUCAAAACUCAAGACUUUCGAUGGUGAAAUAUGCGCAAAAACUGAGUCACAUUAUAAUUCUUUGACCCCAAAAUUCCAACUGACUUCUAUCUCACUGUCUGGUUACAUAGAUGGUGUCACAUUUCCCAAAUUCUUGUACCAUCAGCAUGACUUGAAGAAUGCUGAUCUCUCACACCUUAACUUGAGUGGAAAUUUUCCAAAUUGGUUGGUAGAUAACAAUACGAACUUAGAGACGCUUCUUCUUGCCAACAACUCUCUUUUUGGAUCAUUUCGGAUGCCAAUUCAUUCCCACCAAAAAUUGGCAAAAUUGGAUGUCUCCAACAAUUUCUUUCAAGGCCAUAUUCCGGUGGAAAUCGAAACAUAUCUGCCAGUCUUAAUGGGUUUAAACUUAUCUAGAAAUGCUUUCAACGGUAGUAUUCCCUCUUCAUUUGCUGAUAUGAAAAUGUUGGAAAGGUUGGACAUAUCCUACAAUCAGUUGACUGGUGAAAUCCCUGAGCGCAUGGCCACGGGUUGCUUCUCAUUGGAAAUUCUUGCAUUGUCAAACAACAGUUUGCAAGGUCAUAUAUUCUCUAAAAAAUUUAACUUGACAAAUUUAUUAAGGUUGCAGUUGGAUGGUAAUAAUUUCAUUGGAGAGAUCCCAGAAAGCUUAUCUAAGUGCCGUUUGUUAGGAGGAUUAUAUCUGAGUGAUAAUCAUCUCACUGGUGAGAUUCCAAGAUGGUUGGGUAAUUUGUCAUUUUUACAAGAUAUUAUAAUGCCCAAUAACAAUCUUGAAGGGCCAAUUCCAAUCGAGUUUUGUCAGCUUGAUUCUCUGAAGAUUUUAGACCUUUCAAACAAUAGUAUUUUUGGAACUUUACCAUCUUGUUUUAGUCCAGCAUCUAUCGAACAAGUUCAUUUGUCGAAAAACAAGAUAGAAGGACGGUUGGAAAGUAUAAUCCAUGACAGCCCCAAUUUGGUGACAUUAGAUCUCAGUUAUAACCGCUUACACGGAAGUAUUCCAAAUCGGAUUGACAGACUACCUCUGUUAAGCUACCUUCUUUUAGCUAAUAAUUAUAUUGAAGGCGAAAUACCAGUUCAAUUAUGCCAGUUGAAGGAAGUGCGGUUGAUUGAUCUUUCUCAUAAUAAUCUAUCUGGUCAUAUUCCUCCUUGCUUGGUUAACACUUCACUCAGUGAAGGUCAUCAUGAGGCAAUAGCUCCAACUUCUAGUUCGCGGGAUCAAGCGUCUGCCUCUGUACUUCCAUCUGAGGCUCCAAAUGGAUCUCCGAUGGGAAAGGAAGAAACUGUACAGUUCACAACAAAGAAUAUGUCCUACUAUUAUCAAGGAAGAAUUUUGACGAGUAUGUCUGGGAUUGAUCUUUCUUGUAACAAACUGAUAGGUGAGAUUCCUCCUCAAAUUGGAUAUCUUACAAGGAUUCAUGCGCUAAAUCUAUCUCAUAACAAUUUGACGGGCACAAUCCCGACAACAUUUUCAAACCUGAAGCAAAUCGAAAGCUUGGACCUCUCCUACAACCUAUUGCAUGGGAAAAUCCCUUCUCAGCUCACUGUGCUAACUACAUUGGCGGUCUUCAGAGUAGCAUACAAUAACUUAUCAGGCAAAAUUCCAGAUAGAGUUGCACAAUUUUCAACUUUCGAGGAAGAUAGCUAUGAGGGGAAUCCUUUUCUUUGUGGAUGGCCACUGUCUAAAAGUUGCGAUGAUAAUGGAUUAACAACAGUGACAACAGAAGCUUACACUGAAAAUGAAGAAGUUGAUAGUUUAAUUGACAUGGACAGUUUCCUGAUCACUUUUACAGUAUCUUAUGGAAUUGUGAUAUUAGGAAUUAUUGGAGUUUUGUACGUAAACCCCUAUUGGCGGCGAAGUUGGUUUUACCUUGUUGAAGUAUGUAUGACCUCUUGCUACUAUUUUGCAGCAGACAAUCUUGUUCCUAGAAAAUUCUAUGGUGGAUGGAUGUAAUUUCAUUACAUUACAACUUAUAUGUAAUUUUCAAAGAAUUUUCUUUUGCAUGCAUGGAAUAGCAACUCAAUAAAAGUAUUUGAUGCAAAUUGUCCAAGAACAACUUAGUAAUUUCAUUGCUACUAUUCGGUUGUAUGUAUACAGUUAAUGAAAUUUUUAACCAUUCGCAGAAUACCCUUAGGAAUUUCUUUAGAUGGCGGCAAAAAACUAAGAGAUUCGGGGCUCUACACGGUCUGAAUGAAGAUUAACUUAAUGCCCUCAGGAUUAUGUGUAAGUUCUCUUUUAAAUUUAAGGGGUUGAGAUUUCAGGUCCGGAUGAAAGUUGAAUGCAGGUGACGAGACUUCACUGGGACAAACUUAAAAUAAAAAAUUAUAGUCCACAGUAAGAGCAAUGGGUAGCUUAACUUAUGGAAGAUAACUAGAACUUGGAAUAACUUAAAUUAGCUAUAAAAUUAAGACCAUUAUACAACUAAAAAGAAAGAAAAAUUGUUUGCUACUACAUAUCAAAACUAGUAAUAGCAAUGAAAGAUGGCAGACUUCUUACUUAAACAGAUGAGAGGCUACAAAUAAAAAAUUUGUGCAAAUAAAAUAUAUGAUAAAGAGCAUAAUACUUUCUUGGGGGCUAAAAAUAAUAUACAACUUGUGAAAUAUAAAUUGAGCUACCGUUACCUUUUAGAUGUGGCAACUUUCGACUUUUGAGGCACUUUGGAAUAUGCAUUCAGAAUCCUGCAUUUGGAAGCCAAAUAAAUAAUGUUAAUAACAAUUUUACAAUAGAAAAAUUAAAAAUUGAUAAAUGGCAGUUGUAAUUUAUGUAUGUGUAAAGAUAGCAUCACAUCCAGGGUCCUCCCAUAAACAUGCUUGUAACAAGAAUUAGUUUGCCUCAACUGCUAGCAACUAUACAAUAGUAAAAAUCACUCUUAUGAACUCAACAAUACUAGGCACCAAUAAGAGUAUGAUACAGCCAUUCUAAAUGGAAGAGAAUACAACUGUUUUACAACUAUGUUGCAUCAGGAGAUAUGUUAGGAGUUUUAAUCCAGAUACCUUCCAACCCAAUUAGGAAAACUCGAGUCAGAAACCAGGAGCUGCAACCGAACCUUACAAUCUUGAAGGAAGAAGGAGACUUGGGGCAUUUUUCUAGAUAGGUGACUUACUAGAUCUACUGCCAAGAAAAUAUCUAUUGCUUUGAACCUCCAUUGAAAUUUCUUUUCCCUUUUUCUUAUUUUGACUUGGAACUUUCCAGCAUCAUCUAUUUGAUCUUUUUUAAAGCUAAAAUAGCAAUCUACGGGUUGUCAACAUCUUAUCCCCCCCCCCCCGGGGGGCCCCCAAAAAAAAAACAUCAAUGAGUUGUCAAUAAAUAGCGCCUACUCAACUUAUGUUCUCCAAUGGAUGACAAUGUGCAAAUCGACCUAGCAGCCACAUUUUUCCCCCCUUUCAACCACCAUUAGGCAACUUUUCUAACCUUUCUUCAUUGCCCACGUCUACAGAACUAUCAUAUAAAGACUACAAGAUAGACGCACGGUAUCUAAAUAAUUGUACCAACCCCCUCUCCUGAUUGUCAUAAAACGGCCAAUAUUUAACGCUCGACAACAAAAUUGCAAAUACUCUAGCCUCUAUAUUAUUGGCAUAUAAAUAUUUUCGGUUAGGUACAUUAUAUUCUUCGUUCUAAAACCUCAAUUAUUAGCUAGUACUGUGAUAAAAUGAUUCAUCACUGAAAUUAAAACUAGUUCACGUACAAAUAAUCAAAACUGAAAUAGAAGCAACGAUAAACCAACCUGUAUUACGUCGAUUCAUCACAACAAACUGAAAUCGAGGCUGUGUGUUCCUGAAAAUUGAAAAAAUAAUAAUUUCACCAACUUCAUAUGUAAUACAAUCUCCAAAACACUGAAUAUCAAAUGAAAAAAUGGAAAGCAUAAGAUAGAAAAGAAUCUAAUUUUAUUGACCUUUUGACGACGACGAGAGAGCCUUCAACAUCCUUACGACUCCAUUGGCUGAGGUCGAUGUUGAACUCGUAGAAGGUGACAUGAGCGGCCGUGAUGAGGAUCUCCUCAAUGAAUGGAUCGAUUCACUGAAGAACUGUCAGGUUUAGGAGUUUUGUGCUCUGCUGGUCCAGAUUAGGCAUCAAUUUUCCGUUAUGCGACAUUUUUCAUAGUCGUUUUGGGCUCUGCCCCGAGCACAAGCCCCAGGGUUUUUCUGUGAGCUCUCUCUUUUGUAAAUAAAGUGUUUGAUGAGAUAGCCGAGAGAGAGUGAAAGUGUUGAACAGCCAAACACGGUCUCGAGAUUGAUCUUGCUUUAACUUCUUUUAAACAUUUGGGAAAUAGCAUUUAUUUCUUUUAGUUUCUCUACUUUUUUUUUUCCUUUAUGUCAUUUAGACCCCAAAAUUAGAUUUAUUAUAAUCCUAUUUUACCCAUACACUAUUAACCCCUUUUAUUUACCCCUUUUAUUUUUAAAAUUUGUCAAUAUUAAUGUGUUAGAAUAAUGUUAAAAAUCCCAAUUAUUAUCUCAAUGUUUCAAUCAUAACUAAUGUGAUGACUCAUUGGUAACUGCAACAUUAACUUAAUUAUUAAUGUAACACAAUAAAAGUUUGCCACUUCGGCAUUGGUCGGAGUGGUGGGAUGCUUGUGAGGGCAGCGGUUCAAGCCCCCACAAAAGUAUUUGUGGGGGCUAACGUUGUGGGGGCUAACGUGCUUAUUUGUUUAAUAUUUCAAAAAUUUCCUCUCCCUCGUGCAAUACGAGUGGAGUAUGGACAUCCCUCUUCUGUAAGGGAUUAUUUGUCUGGGCAUGUACUUCACAGAAUUCAAUGUAAUAAUAUAAGUCCCAAUCAUGUAUUUCUGAUUGUAAAUAUCAGUGUAAUAUAUCUGCUGUUGAUGCGAGAUUCUGGUUCUCCUCGUUCUACGACCAGGAUCUCUGCUCGAUCAACUUUACCACGACCAGGAGGUCUCCUAGUAAUGCUUCUUCUCCAGAUGUCCCUGCACACACAGACAAGUCAGAGUACGCCGGUUGUUCUCCCGGCGCAAACCCUCCGACGCUCAAGUCAGAUAUGAAGGUUCGGGGAACGCUUGCCACAGGUCUUAUGGCUUUUUCGUGGUUUUCUCUUUUAUCUUAAAAAUGCUAACCCUUUUACCUUCGUUGGCUACCUUUUUAUAGGCUUCUCCGAAUCCCCGUUUUCCGCUUUUUGCCAGACGGUAUGGGACUCUGACUGCUGCGUCAUGGGCGAAGGUGGGAUCUUGCGUGUUACGCCACGGUUCUGGGGAAAGCGUGGCUGUCGUGCCUAGAUUCUCGGGCUGGAGAGCAUGUCUUGCCAACUGCCGUCGACCGGGUCUCCUCGCUUCUCGACCUCUAGCCGGAAUGAUCUUAUGCCUCUUACAGGAAAUUGACCUCGCGGAUGACGUGCUCGUGGACGAGCAGGAUAUUUCUGCUCCUGUUCCCCCGCGCAUCAGGCUUUUACGGAACACACCGGCUCGAGGAACUCUGCCCCCAGAUAUCUGCUCACCAUGCCUGGUCUCAUCGACGUAUUUCUCCUAAACACCGGUCCCCCAGUUUCUGGUGUUGGGUAAUGUAGUGGACCAGCAGUAGAAACUCGAUAGUACUCGCUCACGUGGGACUGGAAAAGGCUGCCAAGAGUCGUGUCGCAUUUAAUUGCGGACGGGGUGACGUGGCGGAAAUCCCCCCUCCAUUUGAAUUUCAAACCGACGGUUAUGAGGCCCUCGGGAUUCGGCGCUGUUAAAUGCUGGCAACCCAAGAGUCCGUCCCCAUUAGAAAAACCAAAUCCUCUCGAACGGCAUAUUCAUCAUCCACUACGUCUCCGUCUCUGUCUCUCCGGCAAAGAAGUUCCGGCAUAAAAGUCCUCCAUCUCUGAUUUUCACCGACUGAACCAUUACUUCAGGUAUUUCUUCUAUCUCCUUGGCCUCGGAUAGUUGUAGAUAAUUUCUCUUUUCUUCUGUUUGGGUAGUAGUUGGUGGUGUUGUGGUUAGAGCUUAGGGAAUGUCGAAAGGCAAAGAGAAGGUCAUUGAGGUUGACGACGACGAGUUGGACUUCCUGCCUAGUCUGCUCACCGACCCUGCUUUUGACCCCGGGAUUCCCUUAGAGCCCACUAGGUCUAGUGUCGGGACUAGUGCUAGCAGGAUGUCUCCCCAAACAACCUCUACGAGCGGAAGUAGUGGUGAGGAGAGAUCUUCUGACUCUGAGGAUACGUUGAGUGAGAAUGGCGAAGGUGAUUCUGGUGAGGUGUCUCCAUCUAGAACAUCACGACCAGGAGAACGGGGUACAGUAGGAGGCAGAGCCUUGUCGCGCGAUUAUGCCAUUGAUUACAUGACGUGCAUGACCUCGUUUGACGAGCUCAAGGACCUCCGGCUUAGGUAUAGCAUUCCUGGUGAGAUACCUCUCAAGGUCCCAGGAAAGAAGGAUGCUCCCAGCCGGCCUCCUAGGGGAUACGUUACCCUGUUUUUAGAGAGCUUUAAGUACGGGCUGAGGUGUCCCUUGCAACCCUACUUUGCCCGGAUACUUAACGGGCUAAACCUAGCUCCUGGUCAGCUGAAUCCCAAUGGGUGGAGAGUGCUCUCUGGUCUGUUCAUAUUGUGGGACAGAUGUUGCCAGAGCGAGCCCACGGUUGAUGAGGUGAGACACCUGUACCAGCUAAAGAGCAGCCCCAAAGAUGCCGGCUGGUACUACUUCCAAUCUAGCACCAAGAGCAGGAAACCUAUAACCGACCUCCCCACUGGUGGUGGUGGGAAUUGGAAGAGAAAGUUCUUUUUUGCUGGGGGUCCUUGGGGUCAGGUUGCACAAAUGAACGGGAAGGAUUAUCGGGUCCCACCCCGUUUCACGGUCCCAGGUUGCCUGCUUGCUUUUAGAUGUCUUGUAUCCAUAAGUGUUCUUGCUUUAUUGGCUUGUCUCUAACCAAAUGUCUGUUUGUGUUGUAGUUUCUUGGGGUGUUCACUUCCCGCUCCCACCCGACCAGCUCAAACGGGUCGAGGCUGUGCUCGUCAAUUCCUGCUCGAGCCGGGAACUGUUAACUACGUACAACUUGCUCGAGUCUCGCUUGAUACUUCCUGGCCAUAGGAUGGAGGACGCUGUGAUUGGGGCUCUGACCCGAAAACGUUCUCGACCCCCAACCACGAAGAGGGACCAGAGUAAGGAUGCCCCUGUGGCAAAGCGGGCCAACAUCGUGCAGCAGGUCCCACCCUUGAAGAUUUUACCUCCUGCUCCCGUAAAAAUUAGGGAAGCUGGUGGAGCUGCCACAGAUCCUGCUUCCUCUCCUCCUCCUGUCGGGCCCCGAUCUCACUUACCUGACAGCCGAGCAGAACAUCUGGUCCCCUACUUCAAUGAGUUAACUAAACUCGUGAGCAGGAAGGAUCUGGAGGACUUUGACGGCCGCACCUUGGGUGAGUUGGUGGGGGCCAUGCAACAUAGCGCUUUCCACCUCAGCUGCAUGACCACCUAUUACAAGGCUAAGGCUGGCCGCUAUGACCGGAAGAUGAAGGAGGAUAUUCAAUCGGCGACGACCAGAGCUGACGUUGCCGAGAAGAAAGCAGGGGAGCUGAAUCUCGAGAAUCUGAAGCUGAUGGAGCAAGAAUCACUUGCUCAAGCAAAAGCCAUCGCCCUCGAGGAGGAGCUUAUCAAGGUCAGGGAGGAUCUGCAAAGGCAGAAGGCAAUGUAUGAGGCUCAGCUCGAAUCUCUUCGCGACUCCCACCGAGCUCAGGCCGAGAACUUGGAGAGGGAGGCCGACAACCAGUACGACCAGGGACUUCGGUAUUCCUAUCGUUGCAUCAUGGCCGUCCUCGGGAAGCAACACCCUGAUCUGAAGAUGGGUGACCUUGCGGCUGGUGUUGCUCAACAUAUGGACGAGGAGGCGGCCAAGGAGGAUGCCAAAGGGGUAGAGCCGAUCGUGAUAGAGGAGGAAAACUCUCCUCCUCAUGUAGUCCCUGCUGAUGUUGGCGAGGCGAGCACCCACCCCGAUGCCUCUAGUGAUACCCCUCCUGCACCUGAGGAGGUCCAGCCAACCGAUGCCGCUGGGCUCACUGAUCCACCAUCUUCUUGAUAUAUUUCUUGUAUUGUAAUGACAAUGUUUAUGAAGAUUAUUCCCUCUGUUAAUUAUUAACAAAUUAAUAAAAAUGUUUUUGAUCACCUUCUUGUGUCGUAAUUACGAAUUAAUUUUCGUUUGAGAAUCUGCUUGUCUUUGUCUAAACGAGCAGGUUCCGGCUUGGCUCAUGGUUUUGCCACAUGCCUUUGAAGAUUUUUCAAUGCUUGGGAUUCGGUUUGCCUUCGCGCAGUUGAGCAGAUCCUGGCACGCUUGGCUUCUGUCUCGCCAUAAGAUAGGCUUUGAGACUUGACGAGCCUUUGCAUGCCUUGGAUUCUUCAAAGCUCAGGAUUCUGCUGCCUUCUCAUGGCCGAGCAGAUCCUGGCAUGCUUGGCUUCUUUCUCGCCAUAAGACAGGCUUUGAGACUUGACGAGCCUUUGCAUGCCUUGGAUUCUUCAAGGGUUGGGAUUCUGCUGCCUUCUCGUGGCCGAGCAGAUCCUGGCAUGCUUGGCUUCGGUCUCGCCAUAAGACAGGCUUUGAGACUUGACGAGCCUUUGCAUGCCUUGGAUUCUUCAAGGGUUGGGAUUCUGCUGCCUUCUCGUGGCCGAGCAGAUCCUGGCAUGCUUGGCUUCUGUCUCGCCAUAAGACAGGCUUUGAGACUUGACGAGCCUUUGCAUGCCUUGGAUUCUUCAAGGGUUGGGAUUCUGCUGCCUUCUCGUGGCCGAGCAGAUCCUGGCAUGCUUGGCUUCGGUCUCGCCAUAAGACAGGCUUUGAGACUUGACGAGCCUUUGCAUGCCUUGGAUUCUUCAAGGGUUGGGAUUCUGCUGCCUUCUCGUGGCCGAGCAGAUCCUGGCACGCUUGGCUUCUGUCUCGCCAUAAGACAGGCUUUGAGACUUGAUGAGCCUUUGCAUGCCUUGGAUUCUUCAAGGGUUGGGAUUCUGCUGCCUUCUCGUGGCCGAGCAGAUCCUGGCAUGCUUGGCUUCUGUCUCGCCAUAAGACAGGCUUUGAGACUUGACGAGCCUUUGCAUGCCUUGGAUAAUUUCUUGGUUUCAAGCGUAAAAUUGCUUCAUUAAUGGCAGGAUUCGACUUACAUAAAAUUGUUUGGGACAUAAAGCGUAAAAGAUAAACGAUAAUGAGCAUGAGCAGAAAUAGCUCUCAAAUGUGAACAAAUCUUACUGGAAGUAUUUUCGGAGGUGUGCUGCGUUCCAUGGGCGUUUCACCUCGUGGCCGUCCGCGCGAACCAGCCUGUAAGCUCCGGGUCCCGCUAUCUGCUUGACUCUAUAUGGCCCUUCCCAAUUCGGUCCCAGCACUCCUUGAGUCGAAUCUUUGGUGCUCUGAUUCACUCUUCUCAGUACCCAGUCUCCGACCCUGAAUUGCCGUAUGUUCACCUUCUGGUUAUAAUACCGAGCAACCCUCUGUUGGUAAGUGACUGAUCGCUCGGCUGCUUGCUCCCUCCUUUCCGUCAGCAGAUCAAGAUUCAAACAUAUCUGCUCGUCGUUCUCCUGCUCAUUGAAAUGAUCUGUCCGGUGUGUGGUCGUUCCUAUCUCAGCCGGCACGACCGCUUCGUGUCCGAAAGCCAAAGCGAACGGUGUCUCCCCCGUUGCGGUUUUGUGGGUUGUUCUGUAUGCCCAUAGCACACCUGACAGCUCGUCAACCCACGCACCCUUUUUUGCACCAAGCCUGGUUUUCAGAAGCCUCUUGAUGGUCUUGUUGGCUGCUUCUACUUGUCCAUUCGAUUGAGGGUGAGCAGGCGAGCAAUACUUCAGCUCUAUCCCGAGGUUCUGGCAGAAAUCCCUGAAGCUGUGAUUAUCGAACUGCCUGCCAUUAUCCGUUACCAAGGCAUAAGGGAUCCCGUAUCGACAGACCAGGUUUCUCCACACGAAGUCUGUUGUUUUCUUCUCCGUGAUCCUGCUAAGGGCUUCCACCUCUAUCCACUUCGUGAAGUAAUCUAUAGCAACUAUUGCAUGUGUUGCUGCUCCUCGUCCUUUUGGCAAUGGGCCGAUCAGAUCAAUUCCCCAUUGAGCAAACGGCCAAGGGGAGGCCAUAGAGGUGAGCUUCUCUGGUGGUUGGUUGGAGAAAUUUGCAAAACUCUGGCAGCUUGCACAACCCCUGGUCUUCUUUUGCGCAUCCUGGUGCAUUGUCGGCCAGAAAUAUCCCUGUCUUAGGACCUUGUGGGCCAGGGACCUCCCGCCAGAAUGAUUUCCGCAAAUUCCUUCAUGUACUUCUCUCAGCACGUAAUCCGCGUCGUCGUCAUCCAAACACCGAAGGAACGGUAAUGUGUAUCCUCGCCGAUACAGUACCCCAUCGAUCAUCGUGUAUCUCGAGGCCUGAGCUCUAAUCUUCCGAGCUCGCAGCUUAUCUGGUGGUAAUACCCCGUCUCUAAGGUAUGAAACUAUCGGGUCCCUCCACGAGCAUUUUUGUUCUAUCCGCAACACCCCCAAAUUCUGCUCGAUACUUGGGCUGGACUUCACUUCUAGAGGGACGGACUUUGGCAUUUUUGGGUCGGCUACUGCUGCCAUCCUAGCCAAAAUGUCUGCUCGACUAUUAUGCUCCCUGGGGAUUUGUAUCACCUCCACUACUUCGAACUUCCCCAUCAUCUGCCUGACUAUCUUCAGGUACUGUUCCAUCUUCUCCUCUCUUGGUUGGAAUCUUUCACUGACAUGAUUCGCAACCAGCUGGGAAUCAGUUCUGAUCUUAACUCUGUCUGCUUUCACGGCCCUAGCCAAUUCCAGGCCUGCUAUCAAGGCUUCGUACUCUGCCUGGUUAUUUGUGGCUGCAAAUUCCAACUUUACAGCAUAAGAGAUCUCCUCCCCCUCUGGGCCUUCCAGGACAAUCCCUGCUCCUGAACCCCGCUCCCCUGAUGACCCAUCUACAGACAUCUGCCAUACUUGAGUUUCGUCAUUGCCUAUAACUGCAUCUUGUUGACCUAAGCAUGUUUCGGGCUCUGUGAAUUCAGCUACGAAAUCGGCCAUUGCCUGGGCCUUUAUCGCUGCGCGGGGUUUAUAGUCUAUGUCGAACUCGCUCAGCUCCACAGCCCACUUGACGAGCCGCCCAGAGGCAUCUGGCUUGUGCAGAGUCUGACGCAAUGGCUGGUAUGUUAUUACCGAGAUCGGGAAGGCUUGAAAAUAUGGCCUCAACUUCCGAGCAGCAACCACAAGGGCAAGUGCCCAUUUCUCCAACGAUGGGUACCUGGUCUCAGCGUCGAACAGGGCCUUGCUGGUGUAGUAUAUCGGAUACUGAACUCCUUCUUCCUCUCUCACCAGAACAGAACUGGCGGCCCGAUCCGAUACCGCCAAAUACAGAUACAACUUGUCCCCAUUCCUCGGUGUGGACAGCAGCGGAGCUUGCUGCAAGUAUUGCUUCAAGUUCCGGAAGGCUUCCUCGCAUUCUGGGGUCCAUUCUGUUUUCCUUCCCCUCCUUAUCACUUGAAAGAAUGGCUGACACUUAUCUGUAGCUUUGGAUAUGAAUCUGCUCAACGCCGCCAACCUCCCCGUGAGGCCCUGCGUCUCCUUCAGGUUACGAGGAGACGUCAUUUGCACAAUCGCCUGGAUUUUCUCGGGAUUUGCUUCAAUCCCCCUAUGGCUCACCAUGAAUCCCAGGAAUUUCCCUGACUCGACCCCAAAAGCACACUUCUCCGGAUUGAGCUUCAUCUUAUACUUCCUCAAAAGCUCGAAUGUCUCCUCGAGGUGUCUGACAUGUUCCUUCGGGAUCUUGGACUUGGUGAUCAUGUCAUCCACGUACACCUCCAUGGUUUUCCCGAUCAACGGCUUAAAGACUUUGUUCACCAGCCUUUGAUAGGUGGCCCCAGCAUUCUUGAGACCGAAUGACAUCACCCUGUAACAGAACAAACCUUGGUUAGUGAUGAAAGCCGUGCUCUCCUCAUCCUGCUCGUACAUGGGGAUCUGGUUGUAUCCCGAGAAUGCGUCCAUGAAGCUAAGCAGACCAUGUCCAGCUGUUGAAUCUACUAGCUGAUCGAUCCUUGGUAAAGGGAAGCUGUCUUUUGGGCACGCCUUGUUGAGGUCUGUGAAAUCCACACACAUCCUCCACUUGCCGUUUGCCUUCUUUACCAACACCACAUUUGAUAUCCACUCUGGGUAACUGACUUCCCGAAUGAACCCUGCUCUCAGGAGCUUCUCCACCUCGUCAUUUACAGCCUCAUACCUCUCCUGGUUGAAACACCUCCUCUUCUGCCUUACUGCCCGAGCACCUUUCUUUAUUGCCAACUUAUGACACGCUACCUCAGGGUCAAUCCCUGGCAUGUCUUCAUGUGUCCAGGCAAACACAUCAGCAUGAGCCUGUAAGCAUUUCACAAACUCCUGCUUUUGCUCUCCCUUCAGUCUCGACCCGAUUCUGAUCGUCUUUCCCGGGUUCUCUGGUCCCAUGCUUACCGUUUCCAGAUCCUCUACAGGUUCUUGUCUGCCAGUCUUGUUUUCUACUCGGGUAUCGAGGGAUGUUAUCUGCAUUGCCUCCCUUGCUGCCGAGGAGUAGCAGCUUCUUGCGAUCCUCUGGUCUCCUCGUACCACUCCUACUACCCCAUUCACCCGGUACUUCAGAGCCAGAUAAUGGUUGGACAACACCGCUUUGCUCAUCCUUAAAAACGGCCGACCUAGGAUCAUCUGGUAAGGACCUUCCUCAUCCACUACGACAAAGUCCAGUAUCAUUGUUCUUUCUGUCGGGGGGCUCCCAAUUGUGAUAGGUAGUUCGACCACGCCCAGGGGAACCAGCUUCCCUCCUCCGAACCCCUUCAAGGAGGUGUUGGUGUAUUCCAACUUCCGGUCGGCUAUUCCCAUCUCUUCCAGGGUUGACUUAAAUAACACAUCAACUGAGCUCCCUAUAUCAACCAGUAUCCGGUCAAACUUCUUGCUAGCGACCGUAGCCUUGAUGACUAAGGCAUCCUCGUGGGGGUAUAGGAUCCCUUCCUCAUCCUCAUCCGUCCACAUGAUUGGCACUUGCCUGACCCUUGCCCGUUUGGCUGCUGGGGUGUUGAGGAGUACCUCUUUACUGGUCAUGGCGUACCUAGCAUAAUUUUUUCUCGAUCUGUUUGAAUCUCCGGCCAACGUUGGGCCCCCCGCUAUCACCCUUACUGCGGGCUGCUCGUGCCUCAAGAUUCUAUCACUCUGCUCCCCUUCAUCUGUUGUGGCCACCAUCGGGAAAGUCCCAUCCAUAAACUCGUCCAGGUACCGAUUUCUCACCAAAUCUUCGACUUGGGUCUUGAGAUCUCUACACUCUGCUGUGGUAUGGCCAUGGGUGCCAUGGAACUUACAAUAACGUCCUCUAUCCCUCCUGUUGGGUAGCUUUGUUAUUGGUGUAGGGAGGUGCAGCAGCCCUCGAUCCUUUAUGGCUUCGUACACCUCAUCCAGGGACAUCUUCAAGGGAGUGUACCGCCCAUAGUCCUGGUGCUGGUCGAUCCGAUGUACUGCUCUUUCUCUGUUUGCCCCGCUCUGAGUUGGGGGCGGUGGAAGUACUUCUGGUCUGCUCGUCCUGCUACCGUGGGAAUGUUGAUGAAGACCACCAGAUGCCGGAUCAUUUCUUGUCCAAGGUUCCCUAGCUGGGGAACGAGGAGGUUGCGCCCUGCUGCGCUGAUACUGUGGUGGCCUCUGAUGAGGCUGGUAAGCAGUGACCCUGCCUCCUGCUCCACUACCGGAGGCCUGGUGGUCCCUCCUCCUGAUCGGCCCGUUCCCUGGUAAUGCUUUCAUCUCUCUCCUCCCCAACCCUUCUAACUGGUCUGUCUUGAUCCGUGCAGCCUUCUCCUCUUCAAUCUCGAUGUCUCUUUUAGCCUGUUCGUAUGCGGCCGCAUACGUUUGAAUAGCUGGGCUUCUCAAAUUGUACCACAGCCUUCCUAUCUUCACCCCUUCUUUCAAUCCCCUUAACGCCUGAGGGUGGUUGAAGGCUCCCAAGUCGAGGACAGCCCGAUGAAACCUCUUGAUGAAUUCCCGAAGGGUUUCUUGCUCCCCCUGUUUCAUGCUUUUCAGCUCCAUCAUGUCAUCUUCCGGUGACAUUGCCCCACUGAACUGCUCCGCGAAUUCCUGGCACAUCUGCUCGAAGGUUUUAAUGCUGCCCCGAAGAAGUUUCCUGUACCAUUCUCGUGCACGUCCCUCAAGGGAUAGUGGGAACACCCUGCACCUUUGGGAUUGAGAUAAUCCUUGUACCCUAGUUAUGUCGUUGAAGCGCUCUAUGUGCAUCAGCGGGUCAGUUCUUCCCGCGUAUCUGAGGUCGGGGAGGCGGAAAUCUCUCGGAAUAACUGCCCUCAUGAUCUCUGCUGCGAGCGGUGAUUCUCCGUCCAGCAUUAUCCUCCAACCAGGGGCUCUGUUCCUCCCUUGCAUAUCGUCAAUUAUCUGCGCUAGUCUGCGCACUUCCUCCUCCAGCUGCCCUGCACGACCAGGGUCACGUGCUGCAACUUGAUCCCGCUCUUGCUCUACAUCUUGCAAGUGUUGCCUCAACUCGGUUUCCUCUGCAUUCACCACCCCGUCGUCCGCGUCACAAGUCUGUCUUGCCGGGGACCGCUCUCUUUCUCUAUGAAAUUCUCCCCGUAGAGGUGCGUUACCUCUCUCACCAUCAAAUCUCCCUGUGGUUUGACUUCUCCCCGCACUAUCGGGACCUGGUGCCACUCCACCGCCUCUCACCCUUCCCUCUUGAGUUACCCUUCGCUUGCUCCGUAGCUCAUGCAGGAUGGUGUUGUGCAAAUUUUAAUGUACUCGCAAGCGCACGAAUCUAUUGUAGUAUAGACUAAUGGUGACGAGUGUCGAUCCCACGAGGAGGUGGAUUUUUAAUUAUAUAUAGAAUUAAUUUUGUAAAUGGGUGGUUGGAAUUGUGGUGGAAGUGAUUUAAAAUAUGCUAAAAUUGGAAUUGCAAUGGCGAGAAUAAAUUGUAGAGAAAAUCGAUUAAAUUGACGUACUUGGGUAUCUGGAUCCGUAUCAACAUGCAUCAUGGGCUAAAUAAUCCGUAUUAAUGCCAAUUAAAUCAUGAGGGGGGAAUCCACACCUCAUGAACCACGCUCUAAUCAAUAUGGUGCUAAGGGCUUAUCGUGCCAAAUAAUAAUAACCUUAUACUAGAGAGCCGGUGUAACCAAGGCGGUAUCUAGACAAGAUCAGUAUUAUUUGUCGACGAAAAGUCAAAUCAUCCACAAAAACUAGAGGGGAAAAGAAAAUAAAUUUACCAAAUAAAGCCCAUGACUCAUGUUGAGACUUCACCUUCAACCCAAGCUUGAAAGGAAAUUAGCCACUCAUAAUUGAACUAAGGGCAAAAUGGGAAUUUAUUAAAAUACAAAGAAAAUACAAGAUGGAGAAGGAAUUACAGAAAAUGGAUCCCAAAAAUGGAUUCAGAGAUAUCAAAUUAGGGGGGAGAGGCCCCCUUUUUAUAGAUACAUGGAGUAAAUCAUGGCCAUCGGAUUAAAAACAGUUUGGACGCUCAGGAUUGCGCCACGUCAUCAGUCAACAGUCCACGGUUUGACCACGCGGAUGAACAGUAACACGGUUUGACCACGCGGAUGAACAGUAACGCGGUUUGGUUGAAAAUAAUCCUGUGUGAUGCAUGCACCGUACGCGAGAUUUUUCGUCCACUGAUAUGCUGCCACGUCACCAUCAACAGUACAUAAGAAUUUUAGUCCAACAGGAUCGUGACACCUCAUCAGUCAAUGCCACAUCAUCGGUCAAUGCCACGUCAUCGAUCCGUCUAUGUGAACAGUGUCGUGAACAGUAACGUAGACAGUACCGUAUACGUUAAUAGUACCGUACAUGUGAAUAGUGCCAUUUUUCCUUUUAUGCUCCUCCUAAGGUUUUCGACCGUCCUGAGUUCAAAAGUGAUGUCCGUUUUGCCGUCUGAUCUCUCCUUUAUUGUGAAAUGACUAUAAUACCCCUAAAAUACAUAAAAUACUUAAUUAAAAUAACACACACGUAAUUACAUCACAAGAAGGUUAAAUACAUAAAAGUAAGAGUUGUUAGUAAGACUUGAAAUAUAAAAUGAUGGUUUUCUCCUUUAUAAAUAUGCAUUUUCUAAUACUCAACAGAUGGUUGUCAAGGUCUCCAUCUGCUUUUCCAUCCGGUCGAACAUGACUUUUUCCCGUGCUUCACUGACUAUCUCCCUCAGCGUCACGGAAUCGUUAAGCCUCAUAUCACCCCCUUGUGCACUACUUCCUCCUGUCUCCAUUGCUUUUCGCUUACUCCACCCCUCUUCUUGCUAUCAACAGAAGCUUUUUGCUCUGGGUCCCCACAGACGGCGCCAAAAUGUUGAUGCGAGAUUCCGGUUCUCCUCGUUCUACGACCAGGAUCUCUGCUCGAUCAACUUUACCACGACCAGGAGGUCUCCUAGUAAUGCUUCUUCUCCAGAUGUCCCUGCACACACAGACAAGUCAGAGUACGCCGGUUGUUCUCCCGGCGCAAACCCUCCGACGCUCAAGUCAGAUAUGAAGGUUCGGGGAACGCUUGCCACAGGUCUUAUGGCUUUUUCGUGGUUUUCUCUUUUAUCUUAAAAAUGCUAACCCUUUUACCUUCGUUGGCUACCUUUUUAUAGGCUUCUCCGAAUCCCCGUUUUCCGCUUUUUGCCAGACGGUAUGGGACUCUGACUGCUGCGUCAUGGGCGAAGGUGGGAUCUUGCGUGUUACGCCACGGUUCUGGGGAAAGCGUGGCUGUCGUGCCUAGAUUCUCGGGCUGGAGAGCAUGUCUUGCCAACUGCCGUCGACCGGGUCUCCUCGCUUCUCGACCUCUAGCCGGAAUGAUCUUAUGCCUCUUACAGGAAAUUGACCUCGCGGAUGACGUGCUCGUGGACGAGCAGGAUAUUUCUGCUCCUGUUCCCCCGCGCAUCAGGCUUUUACGGAACACACCGGCUCGAGGAACUCUGCCCCCAGAUAUCUGCUCACCAUGCCUGGUCUCGUCGACGUAUUUCUCCUAAACAUCUGCUAUAAUAGCAGUUGUAAAUAUAUGUGUAAUGCAGUAAUAUGAUGAUUAAUCAGUAUUCAAAACACAAUAAAAGUUUCGUACAGAUUUUGAUAUUGAGAGUAACACAAUAAAAGUUUCAUACAGAUUUUGCAAACGAAAAGCACAUAAUACACUUAACUAGGAGGAAAAAUUAAGGUGUAUUUAUUACAAACUGCUAACAAUAUACAAUUGUAAAAAUCACUCUUAUGAACUCACAAAUACUAGGCAGCAAUAAGAGUAUGAUACAGCCAUUCUAAAUGAAAGAGAAUACAACUGUUUUACAACUAUGUCACAUCAAGAGAUAUGUUAGCAGGAUUAAUCCAGAUACCUUCGAACCCAAUUAACGAACUCGAGUCAGAAACCAGGGGCCCCCAACUAAACCUUACAAUCUUGAAGGAAGAAGGAGACUCGUGGUCCAGAUAGGUGACUUACUAGAUCUCCUGCAAAAGAGAAUAUCUAUUGCUUUGAACCUCCAUUGAAAUUUUUUUUUCCCUUUUUCUUGUUUUGACUUGGAACUUUCCAACAUCAUCUAUUUGAUCUUUUUUGAAGGUAAAAUAGCAAUCUAUAGGUUGCCAACAUGUUAUUCUGCCAAACCCUACCCCACCCCCCCGGGGGACAACAAAUCGACCUAGCACACACCUUUCUUCAUUGCCCACACCUACAGAACUAUAAUAAAAAGACUACGUUACUAUUGGGGUAGAGAAAAUAUACAGACUGUAUUAUUAUUACAUCGCAUUUUACUAAUUAACUAGUGCAAGACUUCUUUAGUGUCAAAUCAAGAACUAAUUAGAAAAGACAACUCAUGAUAAUACAGACCUUAAUAAGCAAUUGCUAACAACAUCCCAUAUACUCCUAUUUUAGCCUUCAUUAUCCUGGUAAAAACACAAAUAAGUCUUGCAAACGAACAUUUAUAAGUAAAUUCAACAUUAAUUAAGAUUAGGUAUCUACUGCACCUAAUAGCAUGGUCAACCAUCCAGUUCCUGUAGCCUUCCAUGUACCUAUGUUAGUUACAUUUUACAUAUUAAGCCACGAAAACGAAGAAUCACAGCCUGGUAAAGAAAGACAUUAAUUAAUAGUUUUUGUUUAAAAAUUUCUCCUUUAGAUCUUUCCUAUUCAAUGAAUCAAUGUAAUCUAAAGAGAACUCUUCCAUUUCAAACAGUGUUAGAAGGUAUUUGCAAAGCCUAAAGAUAAUAUACAAGGACCAAGAUAUACACAGAUGGUUUCUUUAUGGAAUUAAAGAGCUUUAUAGAUGUUAAAACUGUUUCAAACAAUUUUUCUUGUUUGGUUUAACUAAGGAAAAGCUUGUGGAAGAUUAAAAAUGAUGUUUCCUAUUCUCUGUAGGAAACUUUUAGGAGAUUUUUUGGGCUUUUUUGAAAGGUUGAAUUGUCAAAAAUACCUUGAUGUUAUUGUUUGCUAAAAGAUGUUACGGACAUCUAAACAACCAACAACAUUUUGUUAAAAGCUCUACUAAUGUAGGAUCUACUUAAAGAAGCUAUACCAAACAGACUCUUAGACUGAAUAACUCGAUCUUAAGUUUGUAAAAUUGGGCUCAGAAUCUCCACUAACAACCCCGCUUCGGUGAGAAAGCCCAAGCCUGUUACUUUGUAUAACCUUAUUCUGUAUGUUUGAUUGCAGGAACUGGCCGAUCAUACCGACGAGGUGAGUGUGCAACAUGAGGUGCUUGACGGGAUGUUUACUUUCUAUGAUUCAACUAAAGCUAGCCUCAACAUAUAUCAGGUGCCUGCUUGUUUUUACCUUCUAGAUACUAAUAUUGUUUAGACGUGUAAUCUCUCUCUCCAUUGAACGCUAGACGGCUCGUCUCAAGCCUUCUACGUACUUCAGAGUCCUUCACUAGCUUUUUAUGUAUAAAGUUUUGAUCUUUUUCCUUCAUUUGCUUGAAGCUCAUUACUGCAGAUUUUUUUUACAGGUUGGUAGUGUAACAUUCGACUUGCUGUUGCUUCUAGUCUUGGGAUCGUAUUUAAUUGUGCUUUUCAGCUUUCUUGUCAUCACAACUAGGGUAUUACUCUUUCUCCAUAUCAAGCUUGAAGUUCUAAAUUUCAGUUUUAUCUUGUAUUUGAUGUUUUAUAAUUUCAUUGCAAACAGAUUAGAAUAGAAACUUCAAAAGUUCCAACUGACUAGUCCCGUGUAACUUUUCCAGGGAAGAUGUUCUCUCAUAACAACUACGAACGUGUUAUGGUUUAGCUCAGUGUCACAAAGGACAGUUUCCAACAAUUGAUCCUAGGAAGAUGCCCAUAGCUUGUUGUGCCAAAAAUAUAAAAUCUAAGAUGCGAAAAGAUUUUGUUGAGAUUCAUUUUUCAUCCUGAUGUUACCGCUGGCCUUUUUUUUUUUUUGGCAGAGAAUAAUGCUUAUGUGAUUUCUGAACUUGGUGAUUGUUGAAAUGAGCUGAAAAUGAGCUGGAAAUGUGUUUGGUUACUGAGAAAGAGAGCAAGAAAAUGAAAGAAAUCUAUUUCACUUUUUAUUUAUCAGAAUGAUUACAUUCACAAUGAAUCUAAGCUGCUAUUUAUACUUAAAUGAAUACACACGAGAAUCUUCUUGCUAGAUACUUCUAGAAACUCUACACGCACACUCGCACUGAGCUAGUGGUUACCAAAACCGUGACAACAAUAUUGCCAGCUCAGCAUAACCAACUUAUAAGUUAUAACUAACACACUCAGCUGCAGGGGAAACCAUCAAGCUUACUGUGCAUCCUCUGUAAUCAAGCUUCUUUAAGCAUGCUCUGCAGAUCAUAUGUCUGAAUUAUCGAAACAAGAUGAAUUAUUUUUUGUUUAGCAGCAGGCGAUCUAUGAGCAGAAUUUCUUGCAACAAAAGAUGUGUGUCCCCCGGCUUGUAUUUAGUCUCGUAAUGCAUUAUAUAUAUGCACGCGAACACACUUUUGAGAAGAAUCAGACCAUUAAUUUUCUUUUGAGCCAAUCAACAGAAUGUACAUUUCUUCUAAGAGCUUGUAACCGAAACUGCAGUUUUUCAGGUUUGAUGCAUCUGGGAAAAUUGUCAGAUGGAAUAAAACCAUCAUGCGCCAAGGUACCAAUGAUGUUUCUUCCAGCUUAUGAGCACUUCAAAUAAACUUAGGUCAUACUUACACAAGGGCGCACAUGAUAUCAAUCUAAU